AUAUACGUACUACUUGAUACUCCCUCUGUCCCAUUUAAUUCUAUACGUUUCUUUUUCACUGUUCGACACGCACUUCAAUGCUCCUAUAAAAUAUAGUUCAAUAACUUAUUUUUAAAAUUUUCUUUUUCUAAAUAAAAAUAGAACAUUCAUACUUUUAUUCAGAAAAGAAAAAUCUUAAAAAUAAGUUAUAGAACUAUACUUUACAGGAGCAUUAAAGUCCGUGCCGCGUCCCCGUCCCCCAAUGUAUAUAACUUAGGGGGACGGAGGGAGUAUUGAUUAAAAAAUAUUAUAAUUAUUUUCGUUUAAUCAAGUAUAAUAACUUAAUAUCUGAUUUUCUUACCGUCAAAUAAAUUAUUCAUAAUUUAUAAUCAAUUUUAUAUUAUAAUGAAUAUCAAUAUAAUGAUUGUUUGACAUUAUACGAUAAUUGACCAAUGUAAUUUAAAUAUAAAUCGUAGCUUUUACAAUUAACUUACAUACAUACUACUUGACAAUUGAUAUUGAUUAAAAAAUAAUUUACACUCAUCUAAUCAAUUAUAAUAAUUUAACAUCAGCUCGAUAUGAUUUUUUCAUAUGUUCACGACUCUAUAAGAUAAUUGACCAGUUCAUUCUAAAUAUAAAUCGUAGCUUUUAGAAAUAACUUAUAUACGUACUACUUAACAUUUGAUAUUUGAUUAAAAUAUAAUUAUAUUUCUAUUCACUUAAUCAAGUAUAAUAACUUAAAAUACCAGUGUGAUAUGAUUCUAUUUAUCGUUAAAUAAAUUAUUCACUAUUGGUAUAUAUUGCACCGUUUUUAUCAAAAAUCAUAUUUUAUAGUUGAUUUCAUAUGUUAUCGAAUAUCAAUAAUAUAAUUGUUUAGGAUCUUAUAAGAUAAUUGACCAGUGUAAUCUAAAUAUGAAUUGUGUUCGUAGUUACAAAUAAGCUAUAUACGUACCAUUUGAUAUUGACUAAAAAAGUAAUUAUAUUUGUAUUCGUUUAAUCAAGUAUAAUUAUUUUAUAUCAUCGUGAUAGAUAUUUUUUAUUGUAAAAUAAAUUAUUCCUUAAUGAUAUUGUAUCGAUCAAAGAUCAAAAUUUAAAAUUAUAUAAGACUUUAUAAGAUAAUUGACCAAUUUAAUCUAAAUAUGGAUGAGUACAUUGCCUUUACGAAUACAGAUAUGAUCAUUUUUUGAAGCAAAAUAUGAUCUUUUUUUAAUAGCUAAAUAAAUUCUUUUAUAAUUAUAUAAUAAGAUAUAAUCUUCUUUUAAUAAUUAUAUAUUCUCCUUUUUUAUUUUUUGAGCAAUUAUAAUAUCUUACGAUCAAUACAAUAUUAGUAGUUGAAAAGACACCCUAAUUUACACCUAAUAAGUCUAUAUAUACUACCCUGCUAACACAAUACUCACGUAUCACCUGUACCCAUUAAAUUCUUCUAUAGCGUUUGGUAAAGAAGAAGCCAAGGAGAGAGAGAAAACACAAGCAACACAACAGCAAAAUCAAAACCACACAUCAAAUGAAAAUAUUAUUGUAGAAGAUGAAGCUAGACCCCGAAAGGAAGAGGCAAAUCACAGUUCACAAACACCAAAUAAUAAAUAGCCAUUGUUGGAUGAAGUAAUUAUGAUUGAGGCACCUAAAGGUAAAAAUGCCGGGGGAACAAAAAAAUGGAGGUGCAAACAUUGCAACAAGUCAUUCAGCAGCUCGUAUACAAGAAUCCAUCAUCACAGCCUAUAAGCAGCUCAUCUGCUGAGAGAAUAUGGAGCACUUACUCCUAUAUUCACAAUGUUAAAAGAAACAAACUUAAUUUUGUGCGAGCUAAUAAACUGGUGUAUGUUCAUAGUAAUAUUAGAUUGAUCUCGCGCUUCACAAAGAGUUAUAAUGACGGACCAUAUAGGAAGUGGGAUAUCGAUCCUGAGACAUCUGAUUUAGAAGAUUCAGCUGCUAAAUUAGAGGAAUUGAGGUCCAUGGAAGGACUUGAAAAUGAAAACACCAUACCAACGUCUAUAAGGCAGAGAUUUCCGGACUCGUAAUGACCUGGUAAAUUAGCAAACUGUGUCACUGUACGGCAUGUCCUGAUGGGUUUUUUAUUAUGCUUAUGUAUGCUUUUAAGUUUAAAGUUUAAACUAUGAACUUCUGAAGUCUUAAGGAUUAUUUAUUAAUAUAUUUAUAAGUCUGGAAUGUGGAUGUUUAGUUAGUACUUUACUUUUGAUAAUCUUCUGUAGUUCAGUAGCUUCCGGAACAUAAAAUUUGAUAUAAAAUAUAUGAUAGGUCGUACCCACACGUUCCUUCGUAAUCGUACCUACACGUUCCCUCGCACCCUUACGUUCCCUUGCACUGGAAACAUUCAUGCCAACGUUUUACGUAUCCGUUUCCGUACCAUGUUUCGCACCCCAUCCUAUGUAACAUUGCUCCGAGCGUUGUACCCGAAUCCUCAUAUUUUAUGAAAUUUGCCGAAUUUACGUAUGCUUGUACACUCUGCGCCCAUACCAAGGCUUCCUAGUUUAGAAUGUUGUUUUUGGUUCCUAGUUCUACGUAAGGGGUGAGCAAGAAAACGAAUUAAAACCGAAACCGCUAAAAAUCAACAAAAACCGAACCGUAAAAAACCGAACUGAAAAUUUAAAAACCGAACCGAUUAUAAUGGUUGCGGUUUCAGUUUUAGGUUAAAACUGAACCGCAAAAAACCGAACCCAGCCGAUUAUAUAUAUAUAUAUAUAUAUAUAUAUAUAUAUAUAUAUAUAUAUANUGCCUUAUACUCCCAUUUGCAUUACUUAUUAAAUAUAUAUAUAUAGAGUCGUGCUCCAGUGAGAACCAAUCUUAAGGUGAGAUAUGAGAUCUAAUCUCAACCACUCAUUUAAAUACAUUAUAUUCAUCUCUCACCAUUCAUUUAAUAUUUUAAUAUUUCACCAUCUUCUAAUUCAACUACCUAUCACCUUCAACCACCGCUGACCACCACCACCAGCUCCGGCGACCACUAGAAAAUCACCGCCGGCAAACAUAAAAUCACCAACGAAAAACAUAAAAUCACCACCGGAAAACUAAAAAUCACCGCCAAAAAACCAAAAAUCAACGCCAGAAAAUUAAAAUCACCACAUCACCACCAUCUACAAAACACCACCUCCACCCCAAAAUCCGAAAAAUCACCAAAUACAAAAUAAAAUCACCAUCGCAAAAUGAAAAACACCAUUGAACAACGAAAAUCACCGCACCCAACCACAUACAAUUGCAUCGUCGCUAACAUCUGUAGAGAAGGAAUAUGGCAGCGAUGUGAAAGAGAAGGGCGAGGGAUUGACCCCGGUGGUGCAGCAGCGGGACGCCGCCGCGUAGAGGAAAAAAAAUCCAUGGAGGCGGCGGUGUUCAGACCUGUGAAGGCGGUGGGGCUGACCUGGGGGGUUACGGUGUCGUCGGCGGUGACAACCGCAUUGCGACACCGGCAACAGCACCAAAGAAAGAGGGAGGAGGAAGAAAAGAUUGCAGCGGUUAGAGGUGGAGAGAGAGAUGAGCAGGUGGUGAGCCGCCGCGGUGCUGCGACGGAGUCACGAUGUGGGGAGAGAGAGAGCAUAUCUGGGCGGCUGUGCGUGAUGGUGGUGUUGGGUGGGUGGUGGGAGGUGAAUGGAAAAUAAUUUGCAGAUCGGAGUGGUGGUGGCAGCGGCCGGAGAGAGAGAUGAGCAGAUGACCGGCGGGGGCGACUGGGUGGUGGUCGGUGUGGCUGUGCGUCAUGGUGGCGGGUGGUGGUGUUGGUAGGUGGUGGGUGGGUGAGUGGUGAAUGAAAGAGAUGAAUAAUAAAACAAGGGAAAUGUGUGGUUGUGAUUUAAUUUAGGGAUAAAAAUGUGGGGCUGAGAUUAGAUCUCAUAUCUCACAUUAGUUGUGGUUCUCAUUUGAGCACUUGCCUAUAUAUAUAUAUAUAUUUAAUUUAAGAAAAAUAGUAAUACAUAUGAAUACAUUAAUAUCAACUUCAUGUACAAACUGAAUUUAUCUAAGAUCCCCCGAUAUUCGGUUGUUGAAACUUUGAGAUUUCCUCGAGCUAAAAAAUUUGUGCAAUGAUGCAUACAAUUAAUUAAGAAAUCUUAAAAACUUAGAAUAUUAUUAGAAGCAGCAUAUCAAUAUUUCUGAAAGUAAAUGAAAAAUAUAUGUUUGAAAUACUAGAAAGUAUACACAAGUAAUGAAGUGGAACAUAUUUAGAAUUUGUAAGGAAUUGAUAAUUAUGGACUGAAACAGAAUGCAUGAUCACUUUUAUGUCAGGAGGGCUAUCCAUUUUUUUAAUAGAGGUUCUUCAUGAGCCUGUUUGAAAGAUUUAGUUCCGUAAACAUAAACGGGAAACUAAUUAUUUUAAUAACAUUUAUUUAUUCAGUUUGGAAGUAUGUUUCUUUUUUUUUUGUUUCUUGCGUUUUUAAAACCGAAACCGAACCGACGGGAACCGAUCUGAGGUUUUUGAAACCGAAACCAAUCCGGCGGUUCGGUUUUGGUUUUCAAUAUUAAAAACCGAAGGUUUGCGGUUUCGGUUGCGGUUUUAUGCUAAAACCGCACCGAGCCGCAUUUUGCUCACCCCUAGUUCUAUGUUACAAAAAUACAAGAAUCAAAAUUAUAAAUACAGAAUGAUUACUUAAAUGCUUAUACAUAUACAAGAUGUACUUUUGGUAUAUGUGUAACAAUGUGUAUCAAGCUGAUAGACUACUUCUGCUAAUUAUAGUCAAAACAGAAAGUUGCGAGUCCAAACCAAAUUUAUAUAAUCGACUUUUCGAGUUAAAGCUAUCAAAACUAGACACGACACACAAAGCCGACAUGAUUUUGAAGGGUUAGGGUUGCUUUCGAUUGGUCGGGUCGAAAAGGGAAAUGUCGAUUACCCUGCAAAAAAAAAAAUCAGGUUACAGGUCAGCUCGUAUAACCCGAAAAUAACUUGGAUAAUCCCUUUAAUCACUAUUAAUAACAUGUAUAAUAUACUUAUAUAAUGAAUGAUUUUAUCAUUAAUAAUAUAAUUAUUUAAUAUAUUUUUUAAUUAUUUAUUUAUAUUUUGUAUACAGUGUUUGUAUUUUGUUAUAUGAACAACAUAUUUCACAAUGAUAUUUUAUGCUUCAUGCUACAUACUAUAGUCUAUAAAAGAUUUUUUUCGCAGGGGUGUACUUUCUUGUACAAGAAGAAGAAUACAAUUUCAGAUGAAAAUACUUUUCAUCAAAUAAAGCUUAUCAUCUAACUGAAAACAUGCAAAAUGUUCCGACAAUAGAACUUUAUUACCAUCUGAAAAGAAGAUUCAAUCUGACUUGAAACAAAUGCUUAAAAUCUCGUACAAGUCACCUGAAAAUAGUAACACGCGAAACAAGGAGAAUAUGAGUCAAUAUAUAAAUAUCAUAAAAGUAAUAAAGGAUGUGUAUUUUGUAAUAAAUACGAGUGUGUGUAUUUAAUAAAAAGAAAUAUAAAUAUAAUCAGUGGCGGAACCAGAAGGGGGCUAGGGGAGCCCCCCUGAACUUGAAAAGAGAGCGUAUAUUUUUUUUAGCCCCGCUGAAUUAUAUAAUGAAGUCCAACGAAGGAAGAUCUUUGGUUAGACACUAAAAUAAAAUAAUAUAUAUAGGACUACCAUAAAACAUAAACAAGGCUACAAAGUGGUACUUAAUUGCCUCUAACAAGCUAAAAAUAUACGCCAUCAAUUAUGGCCACCCAUAAAUGGUACAAAAAUAGAUAUAUAAUAUGGCAAUUACUAAUAGGAGAUAAUUUCGAAUUUCAAAUGAUUAAAAUUUAAUGAGUCAAUCCCUAUUUAAGGAUAUAACGCAUGACCCAUUCCAUUUUACAAAAUUUGAAUGUAAAUUAUGCCUAAAUUUAAAUAACAUCACCACCGUAUACCUUUGUUGAACCACCGCCGCCUGACCAUUAUCACUUAUUUCGUAAUAAACAACACCCUAAUGCCUAGAAACAAAACAUAGAACUAGACAUAGUAGUAUAACAAAAUAUCUUUAAUAUUCACAACAUAUGUUCGACAAAACAUGUAUAAUAUAAAUCAGACGUAACGACCUUCAUUAUCAACAAGGCAUCAGAAGCACACAAGUUGUUCGAUAAUAUGCAUAAUUGACCCAUUCUCAAGAAUAACCAUAACAAUGCAUACAUACAGUUAAUAUGCAAUAACAUAAAUGGGGAAAAUGAUACUACAGAGAUAAAUAAGUACAAGGGGAUAUGCAAUAUAUAUAGGGCAUUGCUCAAAGAAAUGUUAUGAUGGUGUUCUUUGUUGUUCUUUUUUUAAAGUGUUCUGUGUGGAGUGCAACCCAUAUAUAUAUAUAUAUAUAUAUAUAUAUAUAUAUAGAGAGAGAGAGAGAGAGAGAGAGAGAGAGAGAGUGUUAAGUUCAAUGAAGUAUACAAAAACAUUGGAGUAUUGGAAUCCAAGUUACAAUUUUUUAGUUUAAUCAAAAAUAAUAUCUUUCAUUAUCCAAAUUUUUAUGUAAUUUAUCAUUUAUAAGUUGUCUUAAACAAAAUUAUCAAUCAAUCAAUAAUAUUUUUCAACUUUUACAAGUAUUAAGAUUCAUGUUCUGCUUAUUAGUUAUAUUGCAGAACAUAAUGUUCUCUGAUUUAUAAAAGUAAUUGUUCUAUGUUUUGAUUACAAUGUUUAUAUUGUAGAACAAAAUCUACAUGUUGUCGAAUAUUUACAAAUAUUGUAGGACAAAAAAAAUAAAAUUCAGAUGACUAGAUUAUAUCUUUUUUUAAUUUUCUACUCCAAUACUUCAAUGUUUAUGUCUACUCCAUAAAACUUAACUCUCUCUCUCUAUAUAUAUAUAUAUAUAGGCAACUGAUCAAAUAGAAACCAAUGUUAUUCUAGAAACUAGAAACCAUUCCUUGAAUCACUGUUUAUAACGACAUACAUCACUAGUUUCUAUGCUGUUAAUCACUAUUUUAUACAGUAUAUUCAUCAGUUUUUAUUUUUAAUAAUUGAGAAAAUUUACUUAUGAUUGACAUUGGUGGUCGAUUAUUGAUGAUCAAUUAUAGUUGUAGAAGGUCUAUGAUGGUAUCAAAUGACGGGAUGAGGUGUGUGGUGAUGGUAGAUAGUCAUUAGUAGGGGCAAGUUAUGAUGACAAACGGUGAUAGGCAAAUCAUGGUUGUAAGUGAAGGCGGCAGUAGUGGAAGGGGUUGGUAAUGAUGCCGGGAGUUUCAUCAAUGUAGUAUGAUUGAAGAUGAUGAUAAUAUACGUUGUAUAUAUCUGUAUUUAUAUAUCUAUAUUUGUCAGAUUUUGUAUAUAUAAAUUAAUGAUUUCUGAUAUACAAAUCAGUGAUUGUUGUAAUUAAGAACAGUGAUGAAAAAUUGGUCAGGGACUAGUUUUUAGUUUCUAGGCUAAUUUAGUUUCUAGUGGAGUAAGCCCAUAUAUAUAUAUAUAUAUAUAUAUAUAUAUAUAAGAAAUAAUGUAGUAAUGCUCAUACAUCUAAACAUACCAAGAGAGAGCCCGAGAUCAAUGACGAUGAUGCCAUGACGACUGUCAUCUUCCGACACUCCAGAUCAUUGUUGGCGUCAGAAUCGGCACCAUACAACAAAUGUUAUAAAUUGGAGAGAAUGUAUAACGACGAUGAUGAUGACAAAGGCUAUAUCAAGAUCGCGAGGGAGAGGGAGAUCACAAUAAGAAUUUGGCUAAUAUGAGUUCUCUGGGAUACCCUUUAAUAUAAAGAAAAUUAAUUAUAUCGUUUCAAAAAUAUUAAUUAUACGAUUAAAUAUGCCGCCCAACUCUUAAAAUUAUGUAGUGAUCAGAAUAAACUAUGUCACUUACUGGAUAAAUGGGUUAGCUGGUCGGGUCGGGUUGACCUGUUUAAUUAGCAUGUCGGAUCACAGUCAGAAAAAAAAAACAAGAAUUAGCUCUCGGAAUACACUUUGUACAAUGUCGACAGAGAAACAAACCAUAUAUGUCCAAAUGUCUACACAUAGAUAAAUAAAUAAAACAUAUAUGUUCAAGAGCCUACAAUGAAUUUGUGUCGGUAUACAAAGACACGAUUAAAUCUGUAUAUACAUACACCCACACAUAAACUCUUUUCUAAUAUUUAAGAUACGACCGACGCGAACUCAACCCGUGACCUAAAAUCGACAGCCCUAGUGAAAGUAGUUAUUGGAGGGACUAUUAAUAAUAAAUAAAAAUUAUAAUAAUAAACACUUGAUAUUUGUUCUGUUUUUGAUUUAAACAAAAAAUAUAAUAUGUUAUAAAUUAGUCGGGGAAAGUAAUCUAAUAUUCAAUACUUGGCAAUCACAACAAUUAUAGAAUAUAUUUAUUUUACUUUUGUUUUUCACAUAAUAAAAGAAGUCUAAAAUUCAAUGUUUACCAACUAAAUAAAACUUAAUUCCUAUUCAUUCUUAUAAGAAAAACAUCCACCACAUAAUAUAUAUAUAUAUAUAUCUAUUAUAUUUCACGUAUUGGCAAAAUUAUAUAUGGUUAAUGAUACAUAUGCUCUAAUGAAUAUUAAAAAACCUAAUACUAUAACAAUCAAAUAUUGAAUUACUUAUUAUAAAAAAUUGUGCAUUACAUUCAAAAAAGAUAUUAGUACAUGUAUAAUUUUUGGUUAAAAGGUAUCUGUAAAAAACUCAAAUAAUUAGUAAUAAAUUAUAGACUAUAUGUGCAUCGAACUGGUUAUAAACUAGUUAAUUAGUAAUAAACUAUAAUAUGUCUUGCAUCCUUUAUUUUGACAAGUUAGUUUUAUUCUUUCAUAGUUACAUAGAGUAUUUAUAAUAGGGCAAGGGGAAUUGAGGAUCCAAACCCGUAAGCCUGUCAUUGAAAAGGAUAAACACCUUUACCAGUAAUCUCCCCCUUGAUUCUAAUUUGUUUCAUAAUUGAUUGUUGGAAUCUUGUGAUUUGACUAGAGAAGUCAAAAGUAUGUUGAGCUGGUCCGUCGUUUUUUUUCUCUUAGAAAAAUUAAAGAUGGCUGCAUCUGCUCUGUGAAAUUAUAUAAUGUCUGAUCCAGGAACACUCCCAAAGUGUUUCAAAGAGGGGUUCUUGACAUAGGUCUGCCUAGAUUAAUCUAAUUUGGUCAGUAUAGCUGUAUAUCUGUUAUUGUUUGGUCAUCAGAUGGUUUCUUUAGUCUUAGACAUUGAUACCCCUGAGCUCUUGUUUAGGUGUGAUGAGUUACCUGGAGUUUCUAUCUAAUUUGGUAAGCUAACUGUUUGCUGGAUUCCAGUGUAUAUUCUUAAGUAGUGACUGCAUGCAUAGAGAUUUCACUGCUUUAGGUGUUGUAACUGCAACAUAUAACUACAAGCUGCACAGUUUAUUAAGAAAAUAUGAAACCAGAAUUUUGAAGGUCAAAUAUGUAAAGAAAUAUGAUAUGGUUCAUUAGAUGAACUUUUAUAUUGUUUUCUUCGCUGGUCUAUAAGGAAUGACCCUAGUAACCAGCCGGUUCAGGUCUACUGUAUAUGUUCUGUGUUUGAAGUUGAUUGGUACUUUCAUUGAGCAGCCAUUUUAUGUUGAUCUGUCCUGCUUAUCUGUUUUCUGAUGUGUAAUCCUUUCAGAAAUAGAAACAAACGAGUGUCUAGAAAACAAUGGUGGAUGCUGGCAGGAUAAAGCGGCUAAUAUUAGUAUAUUACAGCAUGCAAGGUGAUUGAGAUUCUUCUGUAUACCUUUAAAAAGUUUUAUCUUUUAUAAUUUACAUAUGAUCUUGCUGUAGGAUACAUUUUGUGGACGGGUAUGUUAAUGCCCAAUCGUGCAGGGAGUAAAAUUUUCUGGUGAUGGUUAUACUCACUGUGAAGGUCAGAGUUGAUUAAUAAAAAAAAAUAUCUGCCUUAAUACUCUUUUGUAAAAAAUGUGAUGCUUGGCAGGCCUUUAAACUCUGCGCCUCAUAUUUACCCGUUAUUUUGACAGCUUCUGGAUCUUUACGCUGUGAGAUUAACAAUGGAGGUUGUUGGACGAAAACCCAGAAUGGCAGGACUUAUUCUGCUUGCAUUGUGAGUAAUCUUUAUGACUUCUCACUUCUCGCAACUGGUGCAUAUCCCAUUUCAUUUAUUUAUGUCAUUUUUUCGGUAUGAAAUUGACAAUUAGGUAAAUGAUUUGUACACUCGGUUGCAACUUGCAAGGGUUUUGGACCUUAAGUACGAUCUCAUAGGGCAGAUUAAGUGCAUAAGUGCAAAGCAUCCAAUGUUAUGAUAUCAUACUUAGAACCAGGAGCUGUUUAAAUAUCAAUUGACAGUAUGUACAGGAAAGAAGUGAUGAAAAAGGUGGCAGUGGGUUGAACUUGGAACAAAGAUAAAGAAUAGAAGUAUUAUAGCAAAAUAGAGAAGAAAAAGGGUAAGAAGAGAAGACGUUAAAAUACAAAGGUAUGAGACAAAGCGAAAGAGUUAAACAAGAGAUGAGGGACACACUCAACUACUUAAGAAGGUGGAUAAUUGGACAUAGAUUAAGUGACCCUGUCAUAUUGGAAAAGUUUGGAAAAGUGAACUACAAUCGAGAAAUAUAGCACUUCAGCUUUAUUUAUGAAGUCUCUAAUGUGGCUUCGCACAGUUAUGCCCUGCAUGUUAGAUUUUCAGGCCUUGCCUUAAACGACAGGAUCGUUUUUGUGAAAAUUACAAGUUUCAUCCCAAAUAUAGUUAGCCCUGCCUUGUAUUGCUGUCAUAAUGAUGACAGUCAAUACUAAUUUAUUUAUUACUGUCCAUAGUUUUUAUUCUACAAAAGAUAUUCAAUUAUAUCAUGGUUUUUUUCCUCUUCAAUCAGAUAUAUUAUAUGAUUUUUUUCAGGACGACCAUACCAAAGGUUGCAAGUGUCCACCAGGGUUCAAGGGUGACAGAGUUAAUAAUUGUGAAGGUGCAUUAUGGUUCUUUUCUUGUUAAUGUUGAGUCUUUAGGCAAUUAUCUCCGUUCCUUAGUUAAUAUCUAUUGACCAUAUUCUGGAAUUGCUUUUAAAAUUUAAGUCCUAUUAAGAUUUUAAAGAGCAUCCCCAGAAAGCUGUGUAAGCAUACAGCAGAUAGUUUAAACAUUUCUACUAAAUUGUUUGCAUCUUUAACCUAAAUCAACUCUGUGAGCCUGUGGUAUGGAUCUUGGGAGUCUGUUUCAUGCAAACUACUAACACUAGUGUAAGAUUGUCCGCUGACAAAUUGUUUUUUAUGAUUCCAUUUAAACUGUAUGUCAACUGCUCUUUUGAUAUUCAUCUGGGUCUUGGUAGUAUGUUGGCAAUGUACGAGUUUCUCUGGAUAACCUUGAUACAAAGUAUAAGCAUAUUUGCAAACUUGGUAUAUAUUUUUUAAGUAUAUGUUUUUUUACUUAAUUCAAAGUUCUCUAGUUUUUACAUUUGUACUUCAGACUCUAUAAUCUGUAUGAUGUAUAAUAUACCAUGAAAGUACAAUUAAAAGUUUUGUGUGCAUCUGCCGUAAGGUUUCCUCAUCUAACCUAAUUUUUAAGAAUCGUAAUGGAUCAAUUUGAAUGUUGAAGUCUUAGAAAUCUGAUUCUUCUCAUAUAUAUAUAUAUAUAUAUAUAUAUGAUUUAUGCCAGAUAUUGAUGAAUGCAAAGCAAAAACAGCAUGUCAAUGCCCGGAAUUGCAAAUGCAAGAAUACCUGGGGUAGUUAUGACUGCAGCUGCAGUGGAAAUUUAUUGUACAUGCGUGAACAUGAUACCUGAAUAAGUGAGUAUUGAACUUUAAUAUGUGAUUCUAGUUAAACUAAACUAUCACCAUUUGAUCUAUUAAUUUGUUUGCUGGACGAAAUUUAUGCAAUCGUGCCUGCCUCGUUUGUUUAUUUUUUUAUUAUAAAUUCUUUGAUGACUUGAACUCAAGUGUUUUAUAUGCAGUAGUGUUAUUCUGUAAUUGCGCCCUUCUUCUAACACCUAAGGGUUUUAGGAGUGUUAGUAACUUAACGAGUAGUCUCCUUUGCUUUAACUGAGUUGUUACAAGCGCAAGGUAAGAAUUUAUGCAUGGACUGCCAAAUUUCUAAUAGUCUAGAAUUUUGUCGGAUGGAGUUUUGACAGUUAUGCUUUCAUCAAUUACGUAUAGGAAAGAAAAGAAUAAAGAAACUAAAGAAAUGUAAAAGCUUCCAUUGAAUUUUAUUUUGCAGCUAAAAGCAUUGAGUUAUUGACCAGAGUUGUUUGGUAUAGAAUACACUUUACAGUAGUUUGUAUAUAUUGAUUCUAAGUUGUGAAGAAAUCACAUUAUUAUCUACUACUUCUAAGAUUAUUGAUAGGCCUAUUCAGGUAAGGAUGUUAGUGCUGAGGUCAGCUGGGGCUUUGUUUGGGUUAUCUUUCUUGGUUUGGCUGAGGGUGGAGUCGGAGGAUAUGCAGUGUACAAGUACAGGAUUCGGGUCAGCCCUGAAUUUUCUUACUGCUGUGCUGUUUUAGUGUUCCAUCUAUAUCAGCUUAUAUAUGGAAUUCGGGGGUUCAUGUCAGAAAUAGAGAAAUAGGAGUCUAUAUAGUUGCAUAUUAUAAGCAUCACUGCACAUAUCAUAAGCACUACAGUUUGCCUUUGGAAGAACAUAUUUGUAAUAUAGUCACUUACCCUUUAAUAUCUUGUAAAAUGUGCAGAGAUUCGUGCAAUUAUGGCACAGUAUAUGCCCUUGGAUAACCAGCCAGAAGAUCUCGUUCAUCAUUCACAUGGGAGCGUCUAAGCGUGGAACAUUUCGUGAGGAAUGAACUUGGACGUUAGUAUUAGAUUAUCCUAGACUCCUAUUGCAGUCUGGCUUUGUAUUUGUUUAUCAUGGUGUAGUAGCUCCUGUACCUGACACUGGAUCACCUAAAUGACUUGGUUUUGAUGUGUACAAAAAUCGUUGUAUGACUUGUAGUUAUGUACAUUAUUACAACUUGUUUGCUGCAGACUGGAAUUUCGUUUUGGCGUUGAUGCUCUCAUAAUUUUGGAUAAAUAAUUGUGCUUGCACUAUCACACUACUACACCUUCUUUUCGGCAAAGAAGCGAGGCAGAGACUGCUAGAGUCUCUAGAUUGAACACUUGAACAAGACCAAUUGAACACAAUGGCUAGCAUGAUUCAAUAUAUUUGGCGCAAGUCAAAUGUCACUUAAUUUCUCAUCUCCAGAUAACUCACAAAUCUUAACUUGGCUUUUUGUCUGUUUCUGAAAUCUCAGGGAAGAAUACAUUAUUAUUAUGUCAACCUUCAUUAAUACUUACUCCUUUAUUUUAAAAUAUAGGCCGUUUGACUUUUUUGCACGUACUUUUAAGUCUUUUGACCGCAUGUUUAAAAUCAUUAUUUUUGAAAUUUUCAUUUUCUGAAUAAUAAUAUCAAUCAUAUUCUUUUAUUCAAAAAAAAUCAAAAAUAAUGAUUUUAAACAUGCGGUUAAAGACUUAAAAGUACGUGCAAAAAAGUCUAAGCGAACAGAAGGAGUAUAUUCUGGUCCUCGUCUCCCUGAUAUGUUGUUGUCACUUGUUACGCUUCCUCUGUGCAAGUACAUCUGCAAAGAGAUUAUUCAAAGUUUUAAUACAGCUGUCGAGAAAAAGUGGAAGAGAGAAUUAGCAAAAAUAAAUGGAAGAGAGAGAGAUAUGAGCAGAUAGAAACAUAAAUCUACGGCAGGAGGUAGAACAAAAGGGGUAUUGAGGCAGCCUGUCCUGUCUCUCACAUUUAAUAUUCAUACUUAUAAUAAAAUUAAAUGUAAAUUAUAAGUUAAUAAACGUGUUUGGUUUAAUAUAAUUCUUAUCGAAUAUAUCAAACAAGUUCUUAAUUAAACCAGUCAAAAAUUUAUUUGAAAAUUGGUCCAAGUAGACAUUGUUUCAAAGAAAAUAUUUAAUUAUGUUUUAGUUAUAAUAAUAAAAAUUUAUUAAAAUAUGUCUGAAAGUUCUAUAUUUGUCGGUGUUUGGACCUACCAGACUUUUUGAUUUAUAACAUGUUUUAAGAAUCUUUUCACUACAAUUAAAACCUAUUUAAACAUUUUUUUUGAAACAAUGUCUAUUUGGACCAAUUUUUAAUUAGUUUUUUGCCUGGCUUAGUUAAGAACUUAUUUAACAUAUCCAAUAAAAAAUGUUAACUCAAACACAUUUAUUAAUUAUUUUAAAUUUUUAAUUUAAUCAAAAAAAAUUAUUUUAAUUUAGAAAUAUAUAUUAAAAUUCUAACAUAAUUUUAUUUUUAAUAAUAAAAUCAAUAUUAUAAUAUAUAUAUAUAUAUAUAUAUAUAUAUAUAUAAUAAAAUACAAACAUAAUAUAAGCUAGUCGAUUAUUGCCUGUAUACCAAUUCCCUAAUUAAUUAAUGAAUCGAUUGUUUUUAAUAUUUCGCUUUCAAUAGUGUAAACAUAUUUUAAUUAUAAUAAAAUAAAAUGACACGUGUCAAUUGGUCUGAAUGAACAAUGUUUUUGAUAUUAUACUUUAAAUUAUAAUUAGAUUAUAUUCCAUGUGAUUUCAUUAAUUUUUAUAUUAAAUUUUGUUUUACAUUUAAUUUUAUUAUUUGUAUGAAUUGGUGUAUUUAAAUUAAUUUAUUUAAUAUAAAUUUUUAAUAACUAGAUUCGUUUGCUUAAAAACAAAUAGGCUCAAAAGAUGUUUUUAAGCUAUAAUAUAUUUAAGAAAAAUAAUUCAUUCGACAAGUUGUUACAUGGAAUAUAUAUAGUCUGCUGGGUUUCAAAUGGGUCCUCAGGGCCAGCACAGCAGGAACCAGAGAUCCAGGAUUUUGUGUACGAUCUUGAUGUUGAAGAGGGGGCUGUGGUUAUGCAGGCCUAAGAAAAACAUGCCGGGAAUGGUAACCCAAGGGGUGAGAAGGUAUGAUUUAUCCACCUAAAAGGUUUGGGUUCCCAUUCCAUUCUAUAGCACCAAUUAACUAAUCCAAACGCUUGUUAUCAGAUUAAGGUUUCGGUUCCCGGGCUCACCCCCUAUAUUGAUAAGCUAGAGAUAGCUCAAGCACUGCUCAUAAAUGACGGCAGAAGUUAUCAUGAAGUUAUGGCGUCAAACUCAAGCUAAUUACGGAGAUACACAAGGUGCAUGAUUUUGUAAACCACAACAUGCUAGAUAUAGUAAAAUAGAGAUAUGUUAAAGUAUACACAGAUGACCUCAUGUUGUACAGUAAUGAUGAUGACCUAGAUUAAGUAGGGUUUCUUAUUUGCACUAAAAGAGCUUCUUUCUCUUACAUUGUUUCUCAGCUUCAUCAGUUAUAUAAAGAUACACAAAAUGCAUAUGAGUGUAAGUAGAUGUUCAGUCUGCAUUUACUCGUUAUAUUUUUAUCGUAUCUUGGAGUUAAAUGCAUUUAACUCGGUGCCGAGAGUUAGGUUGGCCACUAAAUUCCUACUCAUUUUGAUUGAUAAUUCUUUUCGAAUAUUUUCUUCUCCGGGAAAGAGAAAUGGAUGAAGAUUCAAAAUCACACAUGGAACGCCGUAUGAAUAGUUAUAUGCAAAGCAGAGAAGAUCAAGUAUUUCACAGAAGGACUCGAUUUGCACUGGACAUGGAUGGGAACAUGAUAUUUGAUGACGAUGGAUAUAUGCGUCACCAAAACGAAGAAAUUUUUCAUGCAAACUGCCGAGUAUUAUAAAUUUAUAAGGUUGAUGGGGAGGAGAUAACUCUGUGUAAUCAAGUUAAUUACACAGAGGAGUCAGAUCAUCUCACCGUUUUAUACUCCAAGGUACGAAAUUUAUUAUUGUUAGCCUGUGUAAGAAAUUCUGGAACCCAGUUUGAUUUCAAUAUGAAGCAAAAAAAGCACAACUUGUUCUUUGAUUUUUGCCGUUGAUGAGCAUGUUCUUGGCUCCAUUUUUCACUUUCAAAAGCUGAAAUUCUUAAAUAUAUUCUUUAGCUGGGGUAUUAAAAUUAUAAAUGAAAAAUAAUGCACCUAUACUUUUUAUGGCCCAGGUGAUUUGCAGUUGCAGACUCUGAGUUUUCAUUUUUAGUUCAAGUAUCAUAUAAUAUUACAAGAUAAUAUAAAAUCUCAUACACUAAUAUUUUUUAACCCCUGACCCAAUGCAGGUAGAGAUCUCAGAUUCACCCGUACAGGACAUCUAUAACUUUUUUUCUCAGGCUGGAAAGGUUAGUUGUUAUAGAGUUAAUUCGGUCCUUUUAAAUAAAUUUAUAUGCCGAUAUUAAAUUUUAUGAAUCUUUUUUCUACAUAAAAAAAAAUCUUCUUCACAUGUAUUGCCUUUACAGAUCAAAACUAUCAAGAUUAUGAAAGAUGAGAUUCAGAAGAAAUUAUCAGCGUAUGUUAUCGUUGUUGUUAGUGCUUUUAUGCAUAUUUAUUCAAUUUUAGACGGUUUAUUUAGGAGUUGAUAUAAUAAUUUAGUGUCACAUUCAAGCACAAAAUUUUCAUAAUUCUUCUGCUGACACCUAAACCUAUUAUUAAGAGAGUUUUGACGGUCGUUACAGUUAUUCCCCUUACUGAAUUUUAAUUUUGCUCUUCUUAAUGUUUGUUUUUUCUUCUAAUUUGUUAAUAUUUCAUUGAAUAUGAGUGUAAUCAUCAAAAAAUGAUCUAUACACUAUAAUAUGAGAUACCAAUAUAAGCAGAUGCAAGAUCGGAGCUAGAAUUCAAAUUCAUGAUGGAUCAAAAAUAAACUUCAUUUUAAAUAUGACCAUACCAAGAUUCUUCGAAAAUUACAUUAGGCAAUACUAGUCACUAAUUAUUAAUAAGCAAAUAAAUAUUUCAUUUAGUAAUUACUGUUUUUGUUUACAUGUUCCCUAAUAUUGUGUUGGGUCAAAUGUCUUAAAAACAUUUAACGGGAAUCAGACUUAAAUAAUAAAAUUACGGAACAAAGAUUAAUCAUGAAUUAAUUGAAUUGAUCAGAAAAUAAUCAGAUUGAUCGGGGAUUAAUCACCGAAUUUUAGAACAGAGGUUAGGGUGAUAAAAUGAAAUCGAAUAAAAUGCUUAAAAAUAAAACAAAAUAUUAUAAAUAAAAAGAAUUUUUUGAUAAAAAGCGAUGAAGAUAAAAUUACUAUUAUGAGAUUUGAGAAUAAAUUGACAAGAGGGAGAAAAUGAGCGUGACUUCUAGCGACCAAAUUUAUCUUGAGAUUAUUCCAAAGCGUGAAUGGAUUUUUGAUAGUGAGAUAUUCCAGAUGUGAUGCAUAAGAAAUGUUAUUGCUCUAACAUUUUUUUUAGUAGUGGGGAUUUUUUUUGAGUCUUAAACCUUUAAAUUGUUAGCACGCUAAGAUGUAAUUCACAUCAAGGAGACAAGAACCCAAGAUAGAUAAUUAUACCCAGAAAACAUCCAAAGCAAAAAACUCUAAUUUUAUGAGGUUCGUCAUUCUGAAUGUAAAAUAAAUAUUUAAAACAUGACAUAUCAAUAUUUCGAGUUAAUACACAAACAAUUAAAUAUCUACACAAUAAGAAAAACUAAAACUAAAAAAUUUUAACGGCAUAGCCGUCAUUGUUGACCAAUCAAGCAAUGAUAACUUUAUAAGGAAUGAAAAUGAGAUAAUAAAAAAAAAAUGAAAAUGAGUAGAGUUAGAUCGUAUCUUAUAUGCUAGUCAAUCUUAAAAAAAGACUUGUGCUUAUAUUGCUAUGUAAGGCUCGGUUAGAGUCUCGUGUUCAUAACGUGUUGUAAAUUUUUAAUUAUUUAUUAUAUAUAAAAAAUAAAAGAUAUAGAUAAAAGAGUAAGAAAGAGACUACAGAGAGUGAAUUGUUCUUUGAUAGUGAUUUUGAUAUCUCAUGCAACUCUUCUAUUUAUAGAGGUGAUUUUGAUAAACAUGCAAGAUUUAUUAAUCUAUAGCUAGUUUAGAAGUGCAUAACCUAAUACUUAAGUAAUUUCUGAAUAGGUACAUAGUUUAAUAUUGAAAUAUUCUUAAAAUACGUGCAUAGUUUAAUACUUAAGUAUCUCGAAAUGCGUACAUAACUUCUUUAAUAAUCUAUCACUUGUAUAUAUCCAAACAAUAUCAAUAUUUCGAGUUAAUACAUAAACAAAUAAAUAUCUAUACAUUAUGAAAAGCAAAAACUAAUCUAGCCGCAUGACAUCAAUAUUUAAACAAUCAAGCAAUAAUCACUUUACAAGUAAUGAUAAUGAGUGGAGUUAGAUGGUACCUUAUAUGCUUAGUAAAUCUCAAAGAAAGGCUCGUGCUUAUAUGCUAUGUAAAGCUCGGUUAGAGUCCCGUGUCGUAAGUCUUCAAUUAUUUAUUAUAUGUGAAAGAAUAAAAGAUACAAAUAAAAGAAAAAAGAGUAAUAAAGAGAAUAGAGAGAGAAUGAAUUGUUUUGUGAUAGUGAUUUUGAUAUCUCCGCUCUAUUGUUAAUAAACUAAGAAUUAGGAAAACAAAAUAGAUCAUAUAUCUAUGACAACUUAGAAUAAUAAAAUAUAAUAUACUAAAAUUUAAAUGCUAAUAAUUAUUAAUAUUAUAUUUUUUUGUGAAGGAUGAAUAUGAAACUAGUGUACGAAACCUCUACAAAACACCGACAUGCGACUUAAAUAAUAUUUUAUUUACUUAUUUAUAAUAUUUGAAUUUGAAUUAUAUAAUUAUUUAAAAAGUGAUUUAAGCGCACGAUUGAAGAUGCUCUAAGAAUUUAACUUUUAGUUGUCUGAGUCAUUAUUUUUAGAUAAUAUGCCGGCCCCAUAAUAUAUUAGCACAUGUUUUUUUUUUUGAUAAAUUAAUGAAAUGUUUUUGUAUCGGAUUUUUUUUUGUGUUUGACUUUUGCAUGGGUUAAUCAUGCAAAUCUUUUUUCAUCUUUGAUUAUGAACUGAUAAUUACUUUUACAGGGAGAUUGAGUUCGAGUGUUUCAAAUCACUUGCAGUAGCCAUGGCAAUUGCGGUGAAAAAUAAGUAUAUGAAUGUAUGUACAAAGGAAAGUAUUCAUGUUGGUAGCUUUCCUUUAGAAGAAAUUGAAGUCAGCGAAGGAGGUGAUAUGUCAAUUAAAGAUGUAUUCAAUCAAAAAAUAUAUAUUGGCUUUUCUCACAUUCCUAUGACCGUCAAUUGGUUGAAAAAGGUAAACUUUGAUUUUUUACGUCGGGUUAAAAAGUCAAACAUCAAUUAAAAUCGGACGGAGGAAGUACGAUUCAUUUCCGGUGUCGCAUAAAUGUAAACUAUUUUCUGUUUUAUGUGCAGAUAUUUGAGGUGUUCGGUGUUGUGCAAAAACUCAUGAUACCACGCCCCCACAAACUUUCGCACUUGGGAUAUGCAAUCCUGCAAGUGAGAUUAUUUUCUUUUACUCGACAUGAAUAGUAUUAGUAACUCUCUUUAGACUAGCCCCUCUGCCCAACUAAUAAGAUUUUUUUUUAUUUUUCUGGUAGUUCGAUAGUGCAGAAGGUGUGCGAGCUGCUCUCCGUUUGGACAAGCAACUGGAGUUUAUUUAUCAGAACGUAACGGUAACACAGUAACAGUAAAAUUGCUCUCCUUUUUUAAAGCAGUGUACAGAAUUGUUUUUCUAAGAAAUUAAGGUUGUAUCUUAUAGGUAGAGAUGCAAGUUACUGCACUUGAUGGAACAGAAUUGAGUCAUGACGGGGAAACAUAUACUACAUGUAAGGAUCCCGUGGAAGAUGAUGGUUCUUUGUAAAUGCAGACUCUUCGAAUAUAAGGAUCUCGUGGAAGAUGAUGGUUCUUUGUAAUGCAGACUCUUCGAAUAUAAGGAUCUCGUGGAAGAUGAUGGUUCUUUGUAAUGCAGACUCUUCGAAUAUAAUGGCAUUGGCUAUGAAAAAGUGUAACUGCAUCAUUUUUUAUGACAUUAGUAUAUAUGUUGCCGUGAAUAGCAACAGAUUAACUGAUUGCAUUUAGUUUUAGCCUUAUUAAGAGAUUAUGAGACUUUUUUCUAGAACUAUCGUCUUCCCCUGGUGUUUUUGUUUGACAAUCCCAGAAAGGGAGACAAUAUAUGCCAAUCAAAUUAAAAUUCAUGCAUCGGACUCAUUAGUCAAAAUACAAUUUACACAGUAAAUUGGCAAAGAAAUCGUACAAAUCUUCCAAAAAUAAAAAUAUCAGCGAUCAGCACCAGGCAUUUGUAGCUCUUGCCAACAGUUUUUGAAUUCUCAUGCACACAGCAAAGCAGAAGACCACCAAACUCAGUAAUUGUAGCCAAUUAGGAUUUACAUUUGUGCAGGUAAAGUCAGCCUCUCAGUUGGAUCAUAAAGACACACGUACAUCCCCUGCAAGAAUGGAGGAUUAACGACAAAUAAUUCACCGUGACUACAUUUUAAGCUUAAUGUUUUGUACUGUAUUGGAAAACCUGGGCAACAUCAUGCUAGUCUGGCAUUAGUCUAUAUGUAGAGCCAAGAAUGAGAGAUUACCCGGAUGGUCACUAAGAGCAGCCUUAUAUAGUUUCAUUAGCAUGCAUUACAUCAAGACCAAUGAACCAUGAUCCAACACUGACAUCAUCAUCUGCAUAUAAACAGAAGAUUGAUCCACAAAAAAAACUCUAUAUGUUAAUUUGCAACUUAUUUGCUCCACAACCUUUAACCACUAUAUCCCUUCAUUAACAAGACCGCGUAACUCACCCUUUUCUUCUUCUUUUUUUCUUUUGCCACAGGGUUAUGUAGAUCACUCAUAAGUUAUCACAACCAAAGUGAAAGAUGAUUUUUAUUAUCCUAGAGACUGAGAAACUAGAACUUCCAUGACCGCCUGUAUCAUUUCACAUAGGACAAAAGACUGAAAACUAGCACCCUACCUGUUAAUUACGAUAAAAUGAGCCAAUGCUCGUGGAAUUGCAUACAUCUCACUGGAGGCAUGCAAGAUAUUAGAAGGCUACAUUAAUAUAAUUCAGAAGAUUAAUCAUCAGCUUUAAGAGAAAAUAUCACGAUCAUACGUACUACUUCGAUCUUCGAGUCCUACCAUAAGCAAACUAAAGUAAAUAAUUAAUAAAAAUAUUUAAAAUUUACAUAAAAUUUAGUAGCGCAAGUUGGUUCACAUUAUAUAUAUAACCAGUAACUUUGACAUACAAUUUAUACAAAAAAUAAUUUUCCAGAAGGCGCAUUGACUUAUCCUCAUCCAAAAAGCCCAAAUAAAUUUCAAACUACAUACUUCCUUCCAAUUGUCUUGAACCCAAUCAUGAGUGGAAAUUUAACCGUCGGACCAGUUACUUACAUUGGCUGCACAUCGAUACAUCACUGAUAUGACCUAUUGAUCCAAAUACCCUAACUAUUCUUGUUUGUGCAAAAUAACAUACAAUUGCGAAAACUAUGGCUUAGAGUUCAAAUAAACUAUAUCGGGAACGAAGAGUAUAGCAACAGUAACAAUGAUCCACGUUUAAUCAUUAAUGUCUGCCUGUUAUAUUAGUAACUAUGACCGAAGUGGGCAUUAGAAAAAAAUUGUGAAAUGCUAAUAAAUACACAAGCACAGAUAUAAUCGACAUAGUUAUACUCAUGAUUCUGUAUGAUUUGCUUUGUUGCUAUGGAAUAUCUACACAUGAAAAUAACAUUGAGAUUACCUACUAGGUUGAAAUACCCUGAAUCAAACAGCCCUAUUGUAUUUAUAUUACAUCUUAGUAUAGUAUUAAGUAAUUUUUGUUAUGUAUUAUUAUAACCUUAUGAUACUUCCAUAUUUGUUAUGCUAGUCCUAAUUCUGAUUGACAAUUUUCGUGUAUCAUUAUAAUACCUAUCGAGUAGCUUUCAUUAAUAAUUGAUCCACUUUUGGAGUUGAUGCUGCAUAAAUCCUAUUCAACCAGCUGCAACAAUGUCAACAUUAAGGUAAGCUACAGCCCUUGAGGCUAGCCUUUCUCUAUUCUCAUUAACCUAUCAUAUUGAUCCUAUCUGAAAAAUGGUAACAACUUAAAUUAAGUGAAUUUAAUUGUGUGCAUCUCUAGUUUGUGUUCAGUGAAAUAGAGUUAGAAAAAGAGACCAAGCCAUACUCUUUUGCGUCCCAAUUAUAAAAGAUGAAGGUCAAUCUUGGUUUUCACCCCUUUUUCUGCAAAUUCCUUAGCCUAUCAGCAACACAAUUACAAAGAUGAUUGUCAAUCUUGGUUUUCACCCCUUUUUCUGCAACUUCCUUAGCCUAUCAACAACCUGAGUAAAGCAAGUAAUCAGGUGUGUCCGCAUGGGGAAUGUUAAUACUUUAACGUGGAGACCUUGAUCUAAGCAUACCUUUAUAAAAGAGCCUGCAUAAACCCUGCAUGACCUGAAGUAAAGCUGUUGUGCCGCUGUUGGGUCAACAGCUCCAAAAGUCCAAGCCUCCCGAUAAUUACCUUUCUACAAAAAAGCUUAAUCACUUUAAUAAAUCACUGUUAUUCUGUGGAUUUAAAUGUAUAUAUCCUUCCUUCACUAACACAUAUAAAUACUUGACUUUAAAAAAAAAACUGAUAAUAGCAUAGUGAAAGGAGGAAUCCUCACUUUCUCUUCUGAACCACCUGGGCUUCGAGCCAUUUUCUUGUAUUUUUCUUGAGUGCAACAUAACACACCCAGACUUGAAGCAUAUUUCCAUCCGUAGCCCAGCUCCAUUCAAGAAAUAUAUACUCAGAGAACCACAUUGACCGGCCUAUGACCUGCACAUAGAGCAUUAAAUUUAAUGGCAUUAUCCUAAAAGACUUAGAUGUUUAACAAGGUAGUAUAAAAAUAUACCAACUACAUAUGAAAAGGAUUGAAGAAACUAUAAAUAUUUGACUAAAACUUAAUUAUUGAGCAUGUUUUCCAGUGAAUAAUUUAAGGUACCAUUAUCCAACAACAAAAUCAUUUAUUCAGUUACAGAGGAAGGUGUCAAAGGUACCCAUAAACAAUAAAGGGGGCUCCAACAGACCAACCUAUAAACCACUAAAAAAGAAAAUACAUUGGCUAAACAAAUUGUUUAAGUAGAAAAUUUGCAAACUUUGACAGCAGAACCGAACAAGAAAAUUAUUGAAGGAGUUACACAUAUAGCUCGCCUAGCCUAGGAUACCAAAGUAAGUGAGUACCUUUUAAAUUUUUUCCAAAUUUAUGUAGUAUGUUGAGAGUUCAAGUCACGUUCUUGUAAAGAGGAGAAGCAGCGCAGAUUUUAUCAAAUACGGUUCAUCUAAUUUGGCUAUUUUUGAAUGGACCAUAAUUUUUCUAUUACCAGUGUCCAUGGACACAAGUGAGCAGAUCCUGGACACCCCAAAUUUCAAAAAAUCAUAAAAAAUAUGUAAGUCCUCAGUUGGACAGCUACGGAGUCCAUGUAAAAAGGAACCAAUUCCACCCCCUUUUUCAGUUUCAUGAGUAUUUAAGAAAAGCAAUUAAAAAUCCCAGUUUCAACCAAGAAAGUUUUAAUCAAGUUCUUAUAAUGAAAAAUCCUUAGUGAACAUUUAACUCUUCAGAGAAAUUACAUUCAAAGUGAAUUUAAAGCACUUACAGGGAGGAACUUGGAUGAUUUCUUCAUAACAGCUAAGCACUACCAAGUCAACCUUAUCGCUGGUGUGUGAAACAAUAUAAUUAGCAGCGCACAAAACAUAUAGUAAUAAAAACUUAAUUAUGUAAAACAUUGCAAUUUAAUUUUCCUUGACCUCCAAAGGUUAGUAGGAAGUACGGAAGCAAUGGGCAAGGUAUCCUUCUUGAUGUAGAAUUCUUUCGAACUUUACACAUAGGUCUGCAUAAUAAAACUUAAAUGUUAUCAGACUUAUUUAUUCUUAAAACAAUGUAAUUCAGAUAUAUUAGAGCGAUUCAUUAGAACCAUUCUUUCUUUACGCAAUCUAACACAACUUAGAACCUACUGGCAAUAGAGCUUUACUUUUCUGACAACCUACGCAAGCCAAGUUCUCCUGCCUUUUAGCCAAAAACCAAGAGAGGCCAGAUUAAUCUCGGUGCGUUUUAUAUCCAGCUUGGUAUAUUUGCCUCCAAAAGUUGCUUUGGAGCUGCAAAAACAGGUAGUUGGUAACAAGGUUGUUUACAACAUCAGAGGAACAUUUAAGGUAAGGGUCAAGUUUGGUUUGAUUCACUUCCACUACUGGUUGCAUAGAAGAUGCCAAUUAGAGCUGACAAGUCCUCCAACUGGCAUCCUUAUCACCAGAAGCUGUAAAAUUAAGAGAUGAAGAAUGCAUUCUUCCCCAAUGCUCGUGGAAUUGCAUACAUCUCACUGGAGGCAUGCUGAAAGUAUCUAUGUACGAUAAAGAUAUUAGCAGGCUACAUUAAUAUAAUUCAGAAGAUUAAUCAGCAGCUUUAAGAGAAAAUGUCACGAUCAUACGUACUACUUCGAUUUUUCGAUUCCUACCAUAAGCAAACUAAAGUAAAUAAUUAUUAAAAAUAUUUAAAAUUUACAUAGAAUUUAGUAGCGCAAGUUGGUUCACAUUAUAUAUAUAACCAGUAACCUUGACAUACAAUUUAUACGAAAAAUAAUUUUCCAGAAGGCGCAUCCACUUAUCCUCAUCCAAAAAGCCCAAAUAAAUUUCAAACUACAUACUUCCUUCAAAUUGUCUUGAACCCAAUCAUGAGUGGAAAUUUAACCGUCGGACCAGUUACUUACAUUGGCUGCACAUCGAUACAUCACUGAUAUGACCUAUUGAUCCAAAUACCCUAACUGGCAUCCUUAUCACCAGAAGCUGUAAAAUUAAGAGCUGACAAGUCCUCCAACUGGCAUCCUUAUCAACAGAAGCUGUAAAAUUAAGAGAUGAAAAACGCAUUCUUCCCCUGUUUUAGUUCAUCUCCACUGAAAUUUCUUUCACAACAAAAAGAGUGAAAACUUCAAAUGUAUAGAUUGAUGUCAUGCAUAUGGUUCUGUAUGCAGAAUUAAUUAUCACAAAAACAGAAAGACCUUAUAUUAUAUACUAAUUGCAUAUUCCAUAGAAAGUUCUAACAAUUUAAUUAUACAAGAGUAUCCUCAAUAUCAAAAUAAUAACACAAGCACAAAAAUAGAUGACACAUUGACAAGCACCAAAAAGACAUUCUAUGGAAGUAUUAGAAAUAUGUUCUUUAUAUCUAUUCAAGCUCACAUAAAACAAAUUGCAAAAAUGUAGACUUGCCAUGGGAAUGAUCAAUCAUCUCAAAUAACCUAAGUAGACUUCAGGCUGUGAUAACUGUAAAAUCCACAUCAAAAGAAGCCCACCACUACUAAUUAUUUUUCUAGAGUACUACCAACUAUGUAUCUGUGUGUGAAGGUGAUGGAAAGUGUCAUAGAAUGAGGUAGCACCAUCAGUUUCCUAAUUUGGAGAUAUAAUUAUUUCAUACCAAUGACUCAUUCUAACAAGAUCUUAGCGCACCUAUACGUUCAAAAUCUAAUUACCAUAAUACAUAAACAUUAAAAGCCUAAAUGGAGCAGAGUAAAGGAAUAUACCUAAGGAGAAGCAAAGACUUUUUGAAGUAUAGAACCCUUUUAGCAGCAUUCGAUUCAAGCAUCUGGUAUAUUACAAAGAGGGAUCUAAUAUCAUCAACUAAAGACCAUCGAUCAUAUAAUUGCAGACAACAAUAUGGAAUUGUUUAGUUAGGAACAUGUAGCUGGGAUGCUGCAACACGUCCUUCAAACAUCCUAUGAUUUGGGCUAAGUGUAAGAAUUGCUUGAACAUCAUAAACUAUACAAGCCAGUAUGAGGGCAAUGUACAUAGAACAUAAACAUCAUUGACUUUGAUAUAGAAUAUAUAAAAAUUGAACUCAACUAAGACUUAAUAUGCAUCAAUAAAAAAACUCUUGUUCAACUACAAUAAUAGCAAUUUCAUAUAAAAUAAAAUUUACUUAACAAUUAAACUAAAACCGUCCAUAAUAUUUUCUCUGAGCUUCAGCUACAUGAAAGUCAUUAUUUAUGAUUGUGGAUGAGUCACGCACAUUCACUCCCUUGGGAUAGGCCACAUGUUCAAAUAAUUUGACAGGAACCAUUCCAUAUCCCUCGUAUCCCCAAGAUUUCCAUGUGUUUUUUAUCAAAAAACAUUCAGUGCCCUCAUCUUCAUCCCCAAUGUCCAUGUCAUCAUCGUCCUCAUCCUGGUCGCCAAUUCUCUUGCCCUUGUCGAAUCCAUAACCUACAAUGUAGACCAUAUGGUCUGGACAAUGCGAUUUUCCGCUUGUAUCAACAGGUUUGAUUGGCGAAAGACUUCGAUUAUAAUUAUAACGCACAAAGUUAUCAUAAUUUGAAAACAACCCUCCAACUGCAGGAUGUUUGGUUUUUAUUAUCGGUAUCGCCUUUUCAGCCUCCAAAAUUCGGUAGGUAUCAAUGAAUAUUCUUUCAGGAGCUGUUGUUCUGAGGGCGUGAAAUUGUUCCAUCGAAAAUGGGGUAAAAUUGUUUCCGAGGAGAGGUUGCUCAUACAGAUAAUCAGACUUAAAAAAUGUACCAAAACAUUUCAAAUACUGAAAUAUCUCUGGUACAGUUGCCCCGAAACCAUUACCUAUGUCGUAGGGCGGCCACACAUAUUGAUUCACCGAAUGAGCAGGAGGUUUCGCUUUCAUAUCGAAAAAAGAGCUCAAAAAUGGCAGCCAAUCCCGCAUCUCACUGGCUGUGAUAGCCUGUAUUUUCCUUGUAAAAAAAAAAAAAAAAAAAAAAACUACUUUUCAAUGGUGUUUAAAACUUUGAUAAAAUAUAUUUCUAUGUGAUUAUAUUUGAAUACGUGUGUUGUUAUUUUAUAAGAUUUUAUAUACUGAAGUGUUAUCUCUAAGCAAAUAUUUAGGCCAGAACUUCCGUUAGCAAGUGGAUAGAUCUUAAUUCAAAAUAAUGAUCACGUACCCAUAAUUGUAGGAACACGUUGAACCAAGUAUGUACAUAAAUACACGUACUUGUUUCACUUAUUUUCUUGUACAGCUCUUCUCUUCUAAAAGGUAUGUCUAUGUUUAUGUCCUGCUUAUGUGCUCUGCUCUGCUAUACACUCUUGGCUGAUAUUUGACAUUAUAUGUAUAACAUGUUUACUACAGUGAAUUUAGUUUGUCACUGUGUUGUGUAUAUACAUGUCUAUUUUACUAGUUUUACACAUACUGUUGGCUACUGUAUAUUAUAUGUUUUCUAUUAUUGUAUAUUAUAUGUCUUCUAUUAUUAAGUGUUUGUGUAAUAUCUUGUUUAAAGUUUCAUGCCUUUAUCUUUUGUUAAUUAUUUUACUGUAUAUAAUGGAGUCUGAUUUUUUAUUAGAUCUCAAAAUUGUUUUGGAGUGAUUAAAAUUAUGUUUAUAAUUAAUUUCUGAAAAAUAUGCUUUUAUGUAUAUAUGCAUCAAUUUUGGAUAUGAAUAUCUUUGAUUUUAUAAUUUAAUAUGCAUGUUAAUCUUUUAUGAAUUAUAUUAGAUUUACGUAAUUAAUAUACAUUAUUUUAUUAAAACUAUUAUUAUUUUAUGUCACUCUUGUCAAUUAUAAUAGUAGUAUUUUAAGACUAAUGUUUACUUGUAUAUUUAUGAACAAAAUUGUUUAGUAAAUAUUUGUGGAGACUUGUAUAUUAUGAGAUUGUUUAAUAUUGUGUGUUUAUAUUUGAUUGGCUACAUAUGUAUAAAUUAUUAGUUUUUGUUGAAUUCAGUUUACUGGAGUUUUGGGAUAUGGACAGAUAGGGUAAAUUGUGAAUUAUUUGUAAUCUGUUUAGAAGUGAUGGAUGGGCUUGUUGAGUGGGCUUUAUGUGUUACUUGCACAGGCUAUUUGUAUGUGUUCACGUCAAAAUAGGUUAACUGUGUAUACAAUAUAAAAUUAGUUUAUGUAUACUUGUACUGGCUUAUAAAAAUGUUAUGAUUAUUCUAUGCACUUAGUUUAUAUCUUCUUUUAUUUAUUUGUAUAAUUGUUAAGAUUAGUUAUAUGAUUAAUGGCUUAAUUUAAUUACUCUCAUUAAUAAAUUUUGUAAUAUAUGAGGUUAUUAUAUUUUCAAAAGACAAACUAUUUUAGAGAGUCUCUUUCUUAAAUCAUUUUUUUUUAUUAGAGUUGCAUAUUUAAUUAUGUGCCAAGCUAAAUUUAUUUUGUAUGAUUAUAAUAUAUAUAAGUAAUAUUGGACCUUAUUAUUAAUGUCAUGUUUAAUUUAUUUUAGGAAUAUGCAAAUUGGGUGCAACAUGUAAUAAUAUUAUAAUAUCAUUUAUCGAUAUUUUUGUAGUGUCUCUCUUGUUUUAAAAUCAUUGUCAUGAUAUUUUAUUUAAUUAUUUAAAUUAGAUAUUUAUCAAGUUUUGUUUUAUUGGUUAGGAAAUCAUUUGAUCAUUGAAUAUUGUGCAUCGGUGUUGCUAGUUAAGGUAAGUUAACUUUUCAGUCUUGCUAAUGUAUUUAUUUGAAACUUUGUUUUGUUUAAAUAUUUGGUUCAAGUUAACUUGUUGAGUGGGCUUUAUGUGUUACUUGCACAGGCUAUUUGUAUGUGUUCACGUCAAAAUAGGUUAACUGUGUAUACAAUAUAAAAUUAGUUUAUGUAUACUUGUACUGGCUUAUAAAAAUGUUAUGAUUAUUCUAUGCACUUAGUUUAUAUCUUCUUUUAUUUAUUUGUAUAAUUGUUAAGAUUAGUUAUAUGAUUAAUGGCUUAAUUUAAUUACUCUCAUUAAUAAAUUUUGUAAUAUAUGAGGUUAUUAUAUUUUCAAAAGACAAACUAUUUUAGAGAGUCUCUUUCUUAAAUCAUUUUUUUUUAUUAGAGUUGCAUAUUUAAUUAUGUGCCAAGCUAAAUUUAUUUUGUAUGAUUAUAAUAUAUAUAAGUAAUAUUGGACCUUAUUAUUAAUGUCAUGUUUAAUUUAUUUUAGGAAUAUGCAAAUUGGGUGCAACAUGUAAUAAUAUUAUAAUAUCAUUUAUCGAUAUUUUUGUAGUGUCUCUCUUGUUUUAAAAUCAUUGUCAUGAUAUUUUAUUUAAUUAUUUAAAUUAGAUAUUUAUCAAGUUUUGUUUUAUUGGUUAGGAAAUCAUUUGAUCAUUGAAUAUUGUGCAUCGGUGUUGCUAGUUAAGGUAAGUUAACUUUUCAGUCUUGCUAUUGUAUUUAUUUGAAACUUUGUUUUGUUUAAAUAUUUGGUUCAAGUUAAACAUUUUAGAUAUAAGAAUUCCCAGUUAGCUCUGACCUAUGAAACCGUUAGUAUCUGCGUAUAGUUCCGGAACUAGCCUAUGAUACCUUACUAGGGGUGCCUGUUAUGAUACCUUCGGGGUUGCACACUUUAUGAUACCUUAGUAAGGGGCGCAUUACUGACAAAGUUAUGAACUUAUGAUACCGAGUCACCGGGUAUUUGUGACCUUAGCGAGCUGUGGAAUUAUCUUAUAUAAUGAUUCUGGAUUUAUGAAACUUAUGAAAUUAUGUAAAAUACUUGAUCCAUUAGCUUGUGUGAUUGGUUAUCUUGCUGGGCUUGUAUAGCUCAUUACUUACAAACUUUCAGGUGCCUAGCUUUUGGAAUCGAGAGGGAAUUGGCUUAGUUUGCUCCAAAGAUUUGAAUUUGCAUAAUUCUAGUAUAGAGUUGUGUCACUUUAUUUGAGAUUAUGUCAGACUAUGAUUUCUUUGAUUUUAAUUGUAAUGUCGCUGCAUUUGAAUUUUAUCAUGUUAAAUGACAUUUGAGAUUUGAGAUUUAGCAUUUGAGUAUUGAUUAUUUGAUUUAAAAAGUUGGGUCGUUACACUGGCUGAUAUAUCUUCCUUCAGCGGAUGUUUCUCCAGAUAGGCGAUAUCUCUUACGCACUCUUGGAUCGAGAAAUUCCAACACUGACCCGUAUAAUAUUGUAAAGAUAUCGGAGAAAAGGGUAAUUCACCUCGCCAAUCUUUGACAAUAUUCCAAUUAGCCGGAUAAUAAUAUCCGCUGCUUCCUCCUUCCAUGAGAGAUUCGAAGAGUGUGUAGGGUUGGGGUUUCGAACCGGUAUUAAUUCUCAGGGUCCAGCGGUGAGUUGUGACGGAGUGAGGUUGAUUGUUGUGUGUCUGUGUGUUUCGUGCAAUUAGGGCUGAGGCGCGCCACACUGGGAUAUUUGCAUAUAGCUAUAACAUAAUAGGAUAUUAGGUAUAUAUGUUAUUUAAUAUAUAAAAUAAUUAUAUUAAUUAUAUAUAAGUUCCGUCCAUUCGGUAGAGGACUGAAAUUUUUUAAUGAGAUCAUACCGGACCGUAUUUUAUUUUGGUUCGGACCGAAAUACCCGAAUCAGAUCAAAAUUUCAGAAAAUUAGGAUCAAGUUGGACCGAAUUUAUUCGGUUCGAUUCGGUUUUUUGGUUUUGCUCAUCCCUAAUUGUAAAAUCAUACUUUAUUUUCUACUUUAAUUGAGAUUGAGGGAUGAAAUUAUUAUUUUUAGAUAUUUCAUAUUUACUUACUUUAACGUAUAAACUAUAACAAAACGUAAAUAUUGUCAAAAGUGUUCUUGUAAUGUUCGGGUUAUAAUAUAUUAUGUUAUUUUAUUUUUAAAAUUAUUUGAAAUUAUAUUAUUUUUAAAAUUAUUUAAAAUAUUAUUAUAAUAAUUAAAAAUUAUUAGAUAAUUAAAUCAUUUAAAUUAAGCCCAUGCUUUAAUAUUAUACUCUAUUUUAAAAAUAUAAAAUUUAAUAAUUAAAUAUAAUCAAACCAUUUAAAGUUAGCUCAUGCAAAGCAUGUAACCUAGUGUAAAUAACUUUCAAACAUCUUCUUUUUAAAAAAGUUACCUUUUAGAGCUAAAAUAACACUAUAUUUUCGAUAAUUGUUUUUAAUUUUUAUUUAAUAUUUAACUGACUUCUAAAAUGCCCCUCCGCAUUUUUGAACACAAAUGGCACUUUCUAAUACAAAAUUGAAUCACACUUUCAAAUACAAAUUCAACUCGGGCUUGAUUAAAUCCAUUUAAAAUACUCUGCAUAUUUGCUUUUGAGUUUAAAUCCGAGGUUCUUAAUUCACCUAAUUAAACAAUACAAGACACAAAAUUCUCUUCAGCAACGUAUAUGCUCAUAAAUUUACAAUAAUAAGAAACAUCAAAAUAAAAAAGAAAAAAAAAACAAUCACCACUUUUAUCUUAUCUCUGUCUCUAUAACAAAUUCAAUUAGUUGGCCCAACUAGAUGAAGAAGCGGAAUGUACUUGAAAAAUAUGCAAAACUAAUGUCGGUAGGUGUGAAGACCAGAGAGAAGCAGGAGUGAAGGAGGGAGGGGGAGGAGGGAUAAUUUCCAACUUCAACACAAGGAGAGUCCCAUGAGCACAUUAUACAGGGAUGCUCUGCCUUACAGUUUGGAGAUGAAGAACAAGAAUUAAGUGAUAUUCUUCCGCUUAUAUUCAAAGAUUUGAAGGCACGGUGAUUAAGCAACAAAAAAUAGGAAAAUCAUGAGGAACACAAUCAGCACAAAGAAAAUCUUGAUCAUCAGCCAUCUGUUUGAUGAUAUGCUGUUAAGGUAUCUGACCAGUUGCCCCUGUGCACCCUCUACAUUCGCCAAAGUAUCCUCCAUGUUCUCGUCAAUCCUGUCAGCAACAAAAUGUUUAAGAUAAGUUAGCAAGUAGAAACUUCUUUGACUAGACCUGUAUAGUAACGCAUACACGAAUGCUUAAGUUACAAAAAAAAAUAUUAUUUGCUUAAUUGCUUCCAUCUCGGAAAGAACAUCUAGGUCAUUAUCGGUCUAACCAGCUACCCACAUAUGUUUUAAAUUACUUAACUAUCAUUGCGAGGUAUGCCAAGACUUCCCUCAGUGAAGUGAAUAAUGAUACUUUAAACAGAAUUCAUAAAUGGCAUCAAAUCAUGUAAACUGUUUCUGUGCUAGACCUACCAAAUUCAAAAGGAUCCCUCAAUUAUCUUUUGUCAUGAUGCAGAAUACCAAUUAAGAAAGAAUAAACUACUUUCAUUCCAAUCAUAUAUAUUGCAAUGCAUUUUACAACAAUAAAAAUCACUAGUAUUUGCUGUAGCUAACCAACCUAAUUGCAAGUUCCCCCUGCUGUGACACCAUUGUUGCCAAUUGAGUAAAGAUGUUGCUCAACUCAUGAAUAGUUGACUCUACAUUCUGGAGAGCUUCAGCCCUACUAUUCAUGUAAGUGUCUUGUAAAGGAACCAACUGUUGUUGCUGUUGAUCUUGUUGCUGGUGUAGCAAAGGCUGAGAUUCCCCAUCUGCCUGCUUCCUGUGAGGAAAUUGUAGAAAUCCUAAUUAGGUAUUUUAAUUAUAAUAUUAUUUUAUAGAUAAAUAUAUAAAUUUAUAUAUAAUAGCAUGUAUGGACUCCAGAUAAGACCAGAAAUUGUGUACGCAGUACUAAAACUUCAUUCCUGACAUGUUAGUUUAAAUAGAAUAUCUAUCAAUAGAAGUGCAAGGCUUAACUUGUAUGAAGUUUCUUUCUUUGCUACAGCUGAUAAAAAUUGUAUCGGCUAAGUUCACGAGUUGGAGAUAAGCGGACUCGAACCGUAUGGUAGACGUAAAUAAUUAUGACAUGGUGGUGUAAAUGAUCCUUUUAAUCCUAAAUUAAGUACACAGAACUAUAAAUACAAAUUCAUAACACAAAUUACUAUUUUUCUAAUAAUUAUUAAUCUAUUUAGAACUCAAUUAGUUUUGAGCACAUAUUCAGGCUGACGAGAAAAUACACUACACAAUUACCAAGUCAACCCUAGAUGGAUCAUGGAUGUCAAUCAAGAAGAACUAGAAAAAUAAGUAGCUACAAGAAGUGGCAGCACUACAUCCCAGAGGUCUGAUCAGACCAUAUGGGAACAUUAUUAUAGUUUUAACAAGUUGCUAAACUAAAUGCUGAUACAGAUGCUGGAGUAACUACUUUCCAGGGGUUCAUUACUUGCACCUACGAGAAAUCACCCUUCCUAUACCUCCAGUCAAAAUAGAUAUAUUGAUCUGCAAGGCUUUUAGCCUAGCAAAUUCUCCCUCCAGCUCUGUUUGUAAUAAGAAUUGGAGGGUUCAAGCCUUAGUAGGGAACGAGUGCAAGAGUAUAUAAUUUUCUGAACUUGACCGCAACAGAAUUUGUUUUUACAAAAUACAGGAAUAUUAGUUGACAUAGAAGGCGACCAGCUCGAUAAUGGACCAACUGCUCCCUCUAUAAUCUAACACUAGACAUAUAUUUCUAUAAGAUUUCGUCUCUUAAAUGGGUAGAUAAAAACGAAAAGUCAUGUCAUAAUAGAUAAAAACACCGGGAUUUUACCAGAACAAACUAUAAACAUGGAUUAAAUUUUUCAGAUCAGAAAAAUCUUUUCAGAUUCAACUAAUCAACCAUCAACACUAAUACUGCCAUGUGAUCUUUACCUUGGAAAUAACUGAGAUGAAGAUGCAGAACCAUUGGCCCAAGGAGGAGGAGCAUUUGAUGUACCUGCAGCUGAUUUGGCAGCCAAGGGCCGCUGGCGAACAAAAGGAUUAGUAGCCUCUUUCGAAUUGGCUGAAGUAAACAACUGCCUUCUGUUUUCAUGAACUUUCAAGUUCUGUGCAAACAAAAGUUAAACAAUAUAUUAGCAAACAAUACAAAAAACAUUGAAGCAAUGACCAGAAGGUACAAAUAUAGUACUUUAAUGCUUUCUAAAUUAAUGUACAGCAUACAGAACACUAGAUCUUGGCUAAAGUACAUUAACAAGUAACAAACCUCUGUCCGCAUGGUAAGAACUUCUUUGAACUCUUUUGUAGUGCUCAUCAAGCGAUUUUUCAGAUUAUCAACAACUGUGGUUGAAUGAGUUGUUGUGUCGCUUGAAAUAUUUCCACUAUUAUUUUGUGAGUUGCAAACAAGUUGCAAGUCCACUACAGCUGAGUUCAGUGCCGUAAUAUCCUGCUUGAUGACAGCUGUUAACUCUUGAAUCUCCAUCGUUGGGUCAUCAAAAACUGAAGUUCGCUUUGCCACUGUAACAAAAAAGAAAAAACACCUGUAUAAAUUACUCCUACAUUGUCUGGUAGUGUGUACAUAAUGCAGAAGCAAUAGCCACUACAAGUACAUGUUUGGCGUGAUAUAGACAAACACAGAAGUAAAUAAUAAUCAUGUUAUCCAUUUAAGCACAAAGAUGCCAACAACUACAUCUCAAAAUAUCAGACGUUAUAUGCUUACACAUAGAGACACAAAUGCUCCAACAGAUAUACAUGUCCUCACAAAGAGACCUUGUGGCAUGGUAUGCUAAAGAAUCAAUAACAGAUAUAGUAAAAAAAUUAAGCAAAUUUUUUAAAAAAGAGCCCUGAUAUUGAAAUAAAACCCACUAUCAAUUGAACUUGAUCAAAUCCAUUAAUGAUACCCUCAGUCACAUUAUCCUUGAAGGAUUUUUACUAAUCUACCUUAGUACCGUUUGUCAAAACACGACAUAUUACAGUAAUACAGCAUUUACUUUAAUACAACAUAUCAGCUGAAAAAUUCAAAAACAAACAGACCCAAUUUCAUGAUCUUCCUUGGAAAUCUUAUUACUUCACUAGAAUGAUUGAAAACAUUAUGUUGCAACAAUCUUCAGCUCACUUCCACUAAUAAAAUAUUAGUUAUAGAGUGGGUUUAAAGAAUAUUGUUGGAGGUGGAUACGAACGAAGUCAUUAGGAGCCAAUUCUUUAUAUUAUUUUUAGGGAGCGAGCUAAAAGUCUCAUGUGAUACAGUAUGCUAAAGAAUAAGUACCGUGAUUAACAUUGAACUAAUCUAGUACCACAGUCCUAAUAAUGAGCUAAAACCACUAUCACUUGGAAUUAAUUAAAUCCAUUUAGGAACUUGGAUACUCUGCAGUCAAACUAUCCUUCACAUGUUUUUAUUUUCUUUCUUUUGUGUGUUAAUGUGGUGUGGUGUGGUGUGGGUCUUAGAGAAGCACCAAGUUAUGUGAAGUCAUCACCCAGGAAAGAAUUUGUCAAAAAGAAAAGUAUUUCCGAAUUUGUGGUCAGUUAUACACUUUCAACCACUAAACCUGUCUACAAAUCUACCUACAACUCUACCUUAAAACCAUUUGCCAGACUACACACAAAAUAUUACAGCAUAUGAAACAGACUUAACAUCUAAUGGAACUAUGCUUCCAACUAGACAAAUCACUUUUCUUACGUCAUGAGUGUAAUAAACAAAACAUUCCACAACAAUCUUCUGUUUUUCCCAUUUUACUCGAGUUUCUUCUUUCCCCCAGAAUAUAAGCAGGUAACAAGACAACAUUUCUAAGCAGUGAUGCAACCAGUUUUCAAGCACAACAGCUACAGCUAAAAUGUAAUUCACCAAUCCACCGGAUAAAAGAAACAAAAAACUUUUUAACAAACAUAAUUUCUACGAUAACCGGAAUUCUCUUCAUUUCUCCCCCAACUACAGCUGAAGCUUACUAGUAUACUAAUACAGUUAUGAGGGAAAAAACAAAUUCUUAAACUAUAUAAAAUGUGAAAGCACCAUCGUCUAUAGAUUUCAAUCCAACAGCCAAAGCAAAAAUAAAAUAAAUUAUCAACUAGCUACAAUCGGUAUCGUAAUUACAUCGUAAAACCAUAAUUCGAAGACGUGAUAACCAUAUCAAAACCCGCAAACUCACAUUCCGAACAUAAAAACAAUCAUUCCAAAUUCCAAAAUCAACCAAUUCAAAAUCACAAAACCCACAAAUUUCACAAAACAACACAACUCAAAAUCCCGAAAUUCACGACACCAAAACCAACUCACAUUUCGCCAGCUUCGACAGCUUCUGCGACGUCUGGUGGAUCCCAAACCCAAUCUUCGACGCCCUCUUAUUAAACUCCGACUGAUUCGCCACCGCCGACCCGACCCGAUCCGUAAUGCUCCGACCCGACGACGUCGUCGCCACACUAGACGCCACCGUCUUCUUCAACCUCUCCGCUAUGCUCUCGAACUCUACGGUCCGAUCUCUAUACGACGAUUGAGCCGAUUUCUUCAACAUUAUAUAUAUCUAAUUUGUAUGUAUAGGUGUAUGUAUAGAUCCCCAAAUCGAUGAAACCCUAGAUCUUGUGUGAAUUGAAUUCAGAUCCCUAAAUUGGGUGGAAGAUUGUAUCUAUAGGUGUGUGUAUCGGUGGGAGAGAGAUAACCGACAAGAGAGGGAGAGAUAGAGAGAGAGAGAGAGAAUGGCGCCUGAGAGAGAUUUUAUUAGCUGGGAUAGUGUGAAAAUUAAUCAAAUUUUGUGUUAAAUUGGUGUUUUCUUAGGAUCAAUUAAAUAAAUUAAAUUUAUAUUAUUUAUUUGUAUUUACAAAAAAUUGAGUGAUGAAAAUUUAUAUAAAAAGAAUUUCAUGUCCAAUAACAAUGAUAUAUGUAAAAAUAUAUGAAAGAUUUCUUUCUAUACUUUCAUCAUUUUAGAUUUUUGACAUAAUUAUUAUGGUAUAUAUAAAAUCUUAAGCAUUAGUUUUGAAAAUAUAUAAAUGAGUAAGCUUACUUUUAAUUUAAAAAUAACUUUUUGUUAUUAUUUAUCAUAAAUAAUAAACGCGAUAAAAUAUGUUGCAAUAUGUUCGCUUUGACCAACUGAACACUCUGAUGGUUGAUGUGAACUGAUAUGUACUUUGUGCAUACAAAAACAAAGACUCUCUAACCAUAAAUGAGAAAAAUCAAGCAGAACCCCUGAAGCACAGCAAACAAAAUGUAGAAAACUGUCCUUAAAAUCGAAGAAUCUUCGACAAUCAUAACUGGAAAUCGACACUUGUCGUCUGACGGAUCCUCGUCUGUCAGCGUAGCCAGGCCUGAGAAGUUGCAUGCUGUAAUGUACUGGUUCUGAAACUGGUAAUACAUGUUGAAAGCAUAAGAAGCAUUUUCUUUGACACUUAAGUGAUUGCAAGAAGAACCAUAACUCAAUGCACUGCAAUCAGAAUGGCUACAAGCAUAAUCCAUACUGGUUCCUAAGUUUUUCGGUUUCUUCAAAUGUGGGCUCAGAACACACCAUCUCUUGUCCAUGUAUCGGACGCCUUUCACUGCAGUGAAGCUGUUGUUGUCGUUCCAGCCUGACAAGUCCAAUUUGUAUUUAGGCUUGCCAUCAAACUGGAAUAUGCCCCAGUGCCUCUCGAAGUAACCUGGAUCAAUGCUUUUAAUGUUUUCGUCGAUGAGGCUGAAAAGAUAAACGUCGAUUAGUACUCCUUUUCGUGCAGGAGUUCCUUUACCACUCAGAGCAUGCUGAAUCAGUCCUUGAUUGAAUCUUCUAGCGUUUUUUUUGUUAGCAUUUUUAUUUCCGUCAGUUGGCCAUCCGAUUUCUCCCACUAUGAUCUUCAUGUCGGGAUAUCCAGCUUUCGUCAAAGACCAAACAAGAGUGUCAAAAUUUGCAUCAAACACAUUAGUGUACACAUUGGCACCAUCUCUGAUAACCAGCUUAGGAGAUCCAUCAAAAAAGGCCUUGUCUAUUGGGAAAUGAUCAUCGUCAUAAAGGCUUAAAAACGGGUAAAUAUUGACAGUAAAAGGGGCAUUACUAGAGUGGAGAUGGCGGAUGAUGUCAAUCAUAAGCUCACGGAUGUCUGGUCGAAAAUCUCCAGCAGAAGGAACAGGAUUCGAAGCUGGAGCAUAGUAAAUGUCAGCACUAGAAGGAAUUGUGGCUUUAAUCUGUGAUCCAAUUCCGACAUUGUUGAGAGCUCCCUGCACAUUCUUGAGGGCUGGUAAAAUAUACGGCAGAUAUGUGCCAUUAUAACUUCUAAGCAAAGGGUCAUUCCCAACAGCAACAUACCUACAAGCAUUUGUAUCAAGUAGAUUAUAGCAAGAAUCAAAUAUUCCCUUUAGCAAGACUAGCUACGGAACUUAUCUAGCCCUAUAAACAACCACUUGCACUAAAACUCGUUACAGAUUAACAAAUUAAGGGAGAGGGGGAGGGUGAGAGAGGGAGAGAGAGGGGGAGAGAGAGAGAGAGAGAGAGGGGGAGGGAGGGAGAGAGAGAGAGGGAGGGAGGGAGAGAGGGAGGGGGAGAGAGAGAGAGAGAACUGUGCACUCACUUGAAACUUACUCCACCUCUGUAGACAUAAGCAGCAACAUUAGACUCCACCCAAGAAACAGCAUUUCCAGGGUCCUGACUCAUCUCCAUCAACAUGCCAUUCGGAAUUCCUAACACAACUUCGAUAUUCGUCCCGAUAAAGGCCUCAAGAACCUUGUGAUCAGCCUCAAACAACUUCACUUUGUUGAUGCCGUUUCUUAACAUCAUUUCAACUACAUUGUUUGGUGGCAACUUGUGGCUACUCAUUGUGCCCCAGUUCACUCCUACACUUGACCCAUGCACAAACAACCCCAUGUAAACAAUCACAAGCACCAUUGUUAUGAAGAGAUGAUCACAGAGUAAUAUUAUGUCUGUCAUUUUCUUUACUUCUUGAUAGUUUCUUGAUGGGCUUUUUUUUGUUUUUGUAACUUUCUUGGUUCAAGAAAAUUUUAGAUAUUAAAAAAGUUGGCUAAAGUUUAAUAUCCGAAACUAAUUAAUUUAGUCGUCUUUUGUAGCAUCAAAAAUUUCUUUUUCUUUUUCAUUUACAAAGUUAUUUAUAAUUUUCAAACAUAUUUGAAACUCAAUAAUUUUAUAUUUUUUCCGUAAAUGACAGCUCUUUCAGAAAAAUGAAGUUAUCAAAAGUUAUUUCUCCAGAAGUUCCCUAAGUUUUAAAUUUGUGUAUAUCUCACCGUUCCUCAAUCAAUAAACCAAUGUCCUAUUGUCCUCAAAGAUGUAGAAAUAAAAUUUAACCUAAAAAUUUAAACCCAAAUUUAUAGUACAAAUUUUAUUAUCUUCUCCCCCGUUUCAUUCCUUCUCCCCCGUUUCAUUCCAUCCGAUGAACGCAACCUAAAAGUAUACAAACAUUUUAACAACUAUAAUACGGUUUAACAAAAAUGUGAUAACAUGAACUUAAAAUUUUAUAUAUUGGAAUAAUUGUUUCUCAGUGAUUAUUUCAGAUUACACUGCGUAUUGUACUUGGGCUUUUUGCCUUUCAAAUUUAAGAAGAGAACUAUGGAACAUAUGUGUUAAAUCACCGAAUCUGCGAUUCUUUCAGACAGAUCCUGCAAGUGCUUAUACAUAUUGAUCUGUAGAUUAGCACGGUGUGGGAAUCUCCAAGUCAUCUUCACCGAUACAGGCUUCUUCUGGCAGCUUGAAACUUAAACAAUACAUAGCCUGCAAUACAGAAGUGUUGGUUAUACUGUGAAUUAUAGAAUUAUAGCUUAUAUAACUCUCAGUUCUGAUACUACUUCAAACCUUGUAUGGAGCAACAUCUCUAACCCUAUGAAAUACUGGAUCUUUGAUACUAGCCUUUAAAGCGGACUCGGCUUCCUGUCAAACAGUCAAUAUAUAGAGGAAUAAUUGUCGAUUGAGCGAAUUGAGUACAACACUAUUCAGUUAAGUUAUAUAAAUAGUUUAUCAUGCAGUGCAUGCAAACACCCAGAAAAAGUUUGUGAAAAUGACCAUGAUACGGGAACUUACUGAUAUUACUGAUUCUCUCGUCUCAGAUGACCUCAUGAAGCAAUAACAAUGAAUCCAAGGUAGUGAGCCCUUCCAGUAUUUUCUCCGGAUAAGACCUCUGAAUGAAUCUGUGAAAGACACAUCAAAUUUUCAUAUUGCUCGUCCAAAGGGCAAAAAGAAAAGCAUCAGCAAUAGGAAACUGAACCGCCCGGACAGCAAGUAAGCACAUCAGAGUUAGGCACAUAAAAAUAGAGUAUAACAUCUAAGCCAGAAAUCUAUUUACUAUGGAACGUCUAGUUUCAGAGUAGUGAAAUAAACACAUGUAUUUCAUAUACCUAGGAACUCUACAAUGUAACUCAAUUUCUGGGAAGUUUUAGUACCUCCUGUAACUAUGAAGUUGAUGUAACAAACCCAAAAAUGACAUCUGAUAAAAUGCAUUCUGUAAAGAUAAUUUGAAAAUAACAUCUACGCCAGAAAGAGCAUCUUAAUUUGAAAUAGUUUCAUAUUAGACUUCAUCAUAUUAAAAUGACAUGAUGUCAUCAGUUAGCCAAUUAUGGCAUCAUUUGUGUAAUAAAAUCUCAUAUUGCAGCGGAUAAAAUAAUAAAAAAACUUGAAGCUUAAUAUGCAGCAGAUAUCUACAAAUGCGACUUUUAUAGGGAUUCAGAUAUACAUAAAUAGAUCAUUCAUAAAAUGGACCGAAAGAUUAUAUGGUUUGCUUUGGCAUAGCCAUUUUUCCAAAUAAAUUUUAAAAAAUAGAUGAUUGACAAUUUGGGCAUAGCAUGAUAUACAACAGAGAUCAGUAACAUGUAAAAAUAUUCUAAGCUCCCUGUUAGAAAACAAGUAGCAUGAAAUUAUAUAUCGGAACACUGAUGUCUGGAUCAGCAAGUUGGUGCAAAUCAGCAAGUAUAUGUAUAUGGGAUAGAAAGAGAAAUAUAUACAAUGACUUAUAUAAACAUACCAAUAAAUUGAAGGGCAGAAGCAGGAAGAUUCAUUAUUAAAUGAUCAACAUGCUCCCAAGGUUUAGUACUGACUGACACAGAAGCUUUUAUGCGUUUAUUUUUUCCCUUGCUUGCCUUUGAAGCUGCACAAACACCAACUUCUGCAAAAGAAAUAUUAAAAAAGCAGCACUUAGAGUAUGAAUAUAAUAUCUAAUAAGCUACAUACACAAAUACAAGUUUGCUGAAAUUAGCUUAUAAUAGAAAGUACUAAUUUGAUGACUAAAAGAGCAUUAUGUGUCCAUUUAACCUCCCUGAAAUUCUGAAAAUACCUUCUUCAGAAACAUCUGAAGGUCGUUUAAGAGUAGUCACAGUUGCAUCUUCAUUCAUACCCACAACUCUGUCAGAGUCCAAAGUAAUUGACUUACUGCACGAAACUUCUUUCACCUUGCCUGCAGAACAUAUAAAGAUCAUAUUGAUAAUUAUGUUUUAAGUACAUAACUCACUGGCGAGAGUCCUUGCAAAAAAAAACAAAAAAAGAAAAGAAAAGAAAACUACUGGGUAGAGUGGGAGGUAUACCAUUUGUCUGCCCGCUGUCUUCUUCUUUUGGUACUUCGCCCAGUUCAUUGAGUGGCCCAGGAAAAGGAGCAACAUAUUGUGUCUCGCAAGUUGGAACUGACAUCAGUUGUGCAAUGAAUUUUCUAGCAUCCAUGUUGUAUGUAUGAACGCAAUCCUCAACCUUGUUGAUUUUGGCAUUGAUCUUCAGAUAAUUAACACUGUCUGGAUUCAAAUCAUUUGCAUACACUAGGCAUCCUUUCUUUGCAGCUGGAAUAGCGAAUGGACCAAUACCAGCAAACAUGUCACAUAUGGUUUCCCCUGCUUGAAAUAGCGAUAUCAACCUUCCGUGUUCAUGGUCCAACCUUGAAUUCCAAUAGACCAAGCCAUAAUCAAGCUUGAACGUUGCUCCACACUGCUUUACUUCGGUAGUCAUGUCAGUUUUUCCAGCUAGUACUUCAAACUUUGGUACACGGAACUCGUUAGUAAUACUUCCCACUUUAUUAACAACCGUCUGGAUAGAGGGAUAAUUUUUCUGAGGAUAUCAAGGAAACAAAGUAUUAAACGAUGCAAGUGAAAGAUGUCUAUAAGCAAUACUUUUUAAAGUACGGCACAAUUUAAAUGAUUAGACACAGACACACAGCCUAUUACAAAGACCUUUUACACUUUCUCCUAUGCACUUUGUUUUCAGUUUAUGAAUUCUGUUUUUCUUAGUCCAAAACCCCUAAACUGAUAUCCCAUACAAAAGAAAGAAAAAUAACUCUUAAAUCAUAAUUUGUUUCAAAAAAUAUGUUAAGCGCUUCAAUUUGGAGUUGUGACAACCUUCUUAUGUCAAAAGGUCGGAGAUUAAUACUAAAAAACCAAUAAUCUAAGGAAAAUAAAUAUCGGCGAUUCAUGGUUCAGACCAUAUGCCCCAUUAGAAAAAGAUGGUACAUAGAAUAUAAGAUGUUGCCAUUUCCAUUGCAACGCAACAGAUAUGUGUGUGUGUGAGUGUGUGCAUUAGGUAUUCAAACUAGACGUGGGAGUCACUGAAUGCAAUUUGUGAACUGUCUAGGUCUUUCAAAGAGAUUAAUCACACACACUACAAAGAAAAAGUAUAAAUAGAUGCUUUGGUAUCACUAUUGCAAACAGUGUUUCCUAUGGAAUUCUCCUUUGCUUUUGUUAGAUCAUGGAGGGAAUUAAACCUAAAAAAAAUACCUUUCAUGUACUUGGUCACAGGAUUCCAGCACCAAGCACAUUUAAUUAAAAAUCUAAGCGCCCCCCCCCCCCCCCCNNNNNNNNNNNNNNNNNNNNNNNNNNNNNNNNNNNNNNNNNNNNNNNNNNNNNNNNNNNNNNNNNNNNNNNNNNNNNNNNNNNNNNNNNNNNNNNNNNNNNNNNNNNNNNNNNNNNNNNNNNNNNNNNNNNCCCCCCCCCCCCCCCAAAAAAAUCAUAAAUGCAACAGAUUAUGGAGGCGUGCCAUUGAAUACAGAGAUAUCUACUUAUCUACUUCCUACAAAUAGUGUCUCUAAAUAGCAGCUAAAUGUUGAAAAUUUAAAAUUAUGAAGACAGGGUUCUGGGCUUCGCAGUGGAUAAGUAAAGAAAGAACUAGUGACUACACAAAUGAACAUAACAGCAACAACCAAAUCGAGUUACUUCAGCAAAAAAGACUAGCAGAGCAGUUGUUGGAGGAAUCAUUUAGUAUUAGUCAUGUGUCUAUAUGUAUAGUAAUAUACAGAUAAAUGGAAAUAUAAGAGUAUCUUACAAAUACGGAAAGUAUUCAAGUUCAGGCAUAUUUUUGAAUAACAGUACAGGACAUGACUAGUGAAACACUGCAACUCACAUCAUAUAUGACCUUCGCAAUAAUAUCCUUGUAAGGAAGUAGUUCCUGGCAUAUGUUCAAAUGGGCAAUGUGACCUGCAUAGAUACUGCAUGUUAGUCAAGUCCAUAAGUAGAGAUGAAGGCUCCAGCCCGAUAGAGGAAAUCCCUUGACAUUGAACUACAUCAGCAGGUAUACAGCUGGUACAGCAGAAAACUGAAACAAAUUACAUUUAUAAUAGUGAUACUUAACUAUGGUUUCAAAUGAUGACUGUGCUGUAAGCCCGGGAGGAAGAAUCUGCUUCAACACGUGAUCUAUCGCGCAAUAUCAACCAUUGAGGUUAGUCAGUAACAGGUCAAAGUGGCUCACCAUCAGCUGCUGAUUUACAGAAUUAAUGUAAUAGCGCAACAGCAUACAUGACUAUUGCAAUAAUCUACAGUUAGAGGAGAGUAAAGUAUUUAGGGGGUGGAGUACCUUAUACUAAUUGAAUAAAAAGCAAGAAAUCAUACUAGGCAAAGUAUUUACAUGAUGGAAGGAAAUAAUCAUAUUCAUGGAUCAUGAAGUUGAUAUAGUCUAUUUGAUGCCUGAAUCAAAACAUUAAUAAAUGACACAUAUGUUAUAUUGCAUUUUCUGCCUGAGUCAUCUAUUGUAUAUUAACAUUGACUUAACAGGGUGCUGAAAAGAGAUCUCUCGAGGAAGCUCUUGCUUCUUGAUGAGCUAUUAGUCAUAACCAAGUACAACAAUUAGUUGCUGAAGGUGGUUAAAUCUCACAAACGUGAAGAUAAUUAACACAAUUCAACUAAGCUUAGUUUACCCAUUUUAAGUAAAAAGUUAAGAGUUAAAACAAAAAAGAAAUUGAUAACAUAGAAUAAUUUAAAGUUUUAACUUGAGCUUUAAAUUUAAGCUAGAUAUAGAAUAUGUUAUAUGCUACAAGUCCCCUGACAACUUCUAAAAAGAAAAGCUUAAACUGUAUUUGACCAAGAAAGAAAAACUGUAUAUGGCCAGCCUAUGCAUAUUGUAUAGCCUAUCCCUAGCCAUAGUAAAAAUGAAGAAAUGCUGUGGAAUGUUCCUGUCAUAACGAAUUACACUCUAUGACGUGAUUCCUACGAGAUUAUUUCAUAAAUAGAUAUUCAAAUUUACAGAAAAACACCGCUUAUUCCUAAUCAGUAUAUUCAUGUAAUCAUGUCCCCUGAAAGAAACAUAACAUACUCUAAUGCACAUAACUGACCUGCACCCCAGUAGGAAUAUCCAAGGGUCAUUGAAUAAGGAACUACUUCCACUUCAAAAAGCUUCUUCAGCUCGUCAAUUUUUUCACUUGGAAUAUCAGAUAAAUCUGUUAUGCAUAAAGAUAAAAGAUCACAUCAUUAUGACUUUCCUAUUGGCCACUCAUUAAAAAGUACACAUGACUCGUAUAAUCAUUGUUUAUUAAAGAUGGGCAGUAAGCGCCUGUCGAUGCAACUAAAACAUACAUAUGAACAGAACAAGAAAUAUGGUACCAGCAAUAGAUGAAGUAAAGCUGAGGAAAAUUAACGAACAUCAACUAGUUGAAUUCUUCACACAGUUGAAAAAAUCUUGCAUAGCACUUAAAGGUUUAUUAGGCUAUAAGAUCAAUGAAGUCCCAAAAUAUAAUAGCACAUAAAGAACAGGAAUUGACUGCAAGCUUGAAAUAACUGAUUGAUGGUUAUGUGGCUAUUACGAUGAAGACAAGAAGUUGCAUACAUUUCAAAAUCUUACAGCACCUAAAUAAGAGCCAUUGAAUCACUAGCAGUGGCCCCCAGAGUUUGUUAUCAGGAAUCAGGAUUCUCAAAAAUUAAAUGCACAUGACUAGAACAGGCCAAGUCAAAUAAAAACUCAAAAGAAUGUUCAUGCUAAAAUACCAGGAUUCUGAACCUUCUCUGAUAGUAUAAUAUAACGACAUUUCUCAUUUGCUGGAUCUUUGGUGAUGGGACUGAUUCGAGGUCUGUCAAUCAAGUACCUAGAAGUAGAAUGACAAAUGUACAAUGUCAUGUAUGUCUUAGUUUCCUUUUAAAUACAUAUAAACGCAUAAUUCAAUUGGCAGCCAAAGAUAGAAGGCUUCGCUCCAUCUGGAAAAAAAAACUUAUGUUUUGAUAUCUACAUAAUAAUUGCAUUUGUGAGAAAACUAGUAAUUGAUUUAUCACCAAAGUACAUCUAUACCAUUUUAUUAAAGCUAAACAUGCAAAAGUUUGGUCGUUGGCUUGUAUCUGGUACGGUGGAUUAUAACUGUUGGAUCACUUAAAUCAAAUUGAUUAGAACCGUUAGAUUAAAAUUUCUACAUUUAUGCGACUAAAGGUCUAAGGUUCGUAUCUCAUCAACAACAUAUUAAAAUAAAUUAUUAAUUUAAACACACAUAUGAAAAUUAUUAACUAUUGAAAAUCAUUCGUGCUUCGCACGGGUUAUAGGCUAGAAUCUAACAAAAUUCUAAUACAAUAAAACAUGUAAUAGAUCACUUCCAACCCAAUAAAAUUAUGUAAUCUAAUUUUAUAUAUUUUACCACUUGCUAGUCUUACUAAAUUCCCUAUUCUGUAUUUCUUAUACGCACUACAACUAUAGAAUAUUCAAGAGAAUCCAGGAAUGGCAAUGUUUGGCACUACAGAUGGCACAAUUUACAGAGACAAGCCCAAUAAUGACACAGUUAUGCCUAAACUAACCCAAAUCUGAACUGACUCAGAAUCAUAAUCCUUCAAGCUUGUAUACUAAUUUCUGUCAAAGAUGAGUAAAUUUUAACACGAAACAAAAUAACAUGGAUAACCAGAAACACUGCCUUAAUUCUAAAAUUGAAACCUGAAGCAGGAUGAGAAUUAAAAACAGCAUUAAGCUUGGGCAAAUUACUGCUAAUAAUAGCCCUAAGGUGACUUAACUACAAAAAAGGCACUACCCCUAGCAUUUCCAACCACAGAGGAAAGAAAUUUGUUUGGCUUACAACCCAUAAUGUGAGAGUAAUAACAAUUUCAAAACUCCACGAGCAAGUACAAUCCUAAUUAUAAGAAAACUAGUAAACAGAUGAAUAAAAAUCCUUUUGAUUAUCCUACAGCCAUAACUAGAAUAUUCAAUUCCUAAUAACAUAUUUAUCUUACAUAAUUGACGUUUGUAGCUAGUUACAAAUAGCUUUGUUCCAAUGACAUACGAUAGAUACAGAUGAAUCUGUAAAUUUCCUGGUCCACAUCAUAACCCCUUGAAGUGUGAAGAUCAACAUAUAUUUACAGCAUUUAAAAAAGGCACAACCGCACAAAUCACACAAGAUAUUAUAACUAGAACUGAUAUUGAGAAUUCCAACUUAAUUUGAUAUAACUUAGUUAACCAUAUGAUAAAUAUAUGAAACAGAACUUAGUUAAACCUUACAGAACACUGAAAAUGAAGUUCAUACCCAUGUAGCAAUCUGCCUACAGCCUUGCACAUCUCCCGAGGGAUGCGAAUUGCAAACAACUUCAACUCCACAUCAAGCUUGCUCUCAUCCAACAUUUUGCAGUCCCAAUCAGUAUCAAACUUUCACUGCUAGUGUCCUGAAGGAUAAAGAAACAACUAUUUCAAAAAAGGUACAGUUGCAUACCAUUCUAAACUCUAUAGUUUUUCUGAUAAAGUAACACCAAUAUGAGUAUGCGACACUUUGCUAGCCAGACCUAACCAACAUAAAAUAAAGCUCAAUAUGAUAAGUGCAAUUCAUGUCAAUGAAUAGCAAAAGGCUUAAAGUGAGAUAAUUGUAGUGAUUCGUUAUCUGGUUGGAUGGAUCGGAAUCCGAGGUAACCUACAUUUCUGGACUUGCAUGAGCGAUACUAGUUUCUCCAUUCCAUUCAACAAACUUAAACUAGUUCUCAUUCUAUCUCUUUAAUUUAUCUAUCAAUGUUCAUCCCAUCUGUCAGCUCGUAUAUUUCACAUAAAUUAUUCCCUAUCAUAUUACCUAUCAUAUUUUUAACUCUAGCAUACUUCCAUUUCACUUCUAACAUUCCCAUCGUCUUCGCACUAAACACAUUCAUAAAUUUAAACAAUCCUCAAACAACUAAAACUUUCAAUGGUAUCGAAAUUUGCAAAACCACAAAUUCAGCUUCAUCAAUUCUACUAAAGCCAAAACAAUGUGUGAAUUUCAAGCAAAACCCAGUACUUAUAUGCAUUAACCAUAUCAAUAAACUAAAGUACAUACAAAAAAGAUAGAAUCUUUGUAUAGCCGAAUCAUAAUUCUUUCAACUUCAGAACAGCACAAUGAAUUAUCAAAAACUCUUUUCAAUAAAAUAAAAAAAAGGAAAAAAAAAGGAGCAAGAACUCACUUUAGGAGAACCCCUUUACACAAAUUUUACAAGAAGCUUUAAGACUUCAAUUUGGGUAAUUUUAUUGAUAUUGAAUUAGGGUUUAAGUGUUGUGAACUCAAUCAGGGUUUACGGGUUAAUUCUUUACGUUAGGGCUAUGAGUAAAGCCCAAUUAGAUGGCUAAAUGGGCCGCUUAUUUCAGUACUCACUCCGUCCCCCCAUUUCUUAUCAAAUAGGUUGGGCACGGAGGGGCACGGAGGUUAAGGAAUAUGUAUAAAGUAGUGGAAAAGAGGAAGAAAAGUGGGUAAAGUGAUGGGACCCAUUGAUUUUUAAUGUAUAAAAAUAAAAUAGUGGAGUAAAAGUAGUGUGAAAAGGAAAGAAAAGUGGAGAAGUGGUGGGACCUAUUGACUAUUUUUGGUAAGUUUUGAAAUGUAAAGAAUUGGGUGGGACACCCAAGAAGUAAAGUGUAAAGAAAUGGGUGGGACGGAGGGAGUAGUAUUUUCAGCUUCAAAACGUGUUUUGUAUCGUCCAAGCCUGUGCAAAAAAAAAAAAAAAAAGGCUUGUACACAAAAUAUUGGAAUAAAAUAAGAUAAAAUAUAAUAUAAUCAUUUUAAUUUUCUUUUUUGCUUUAAGAUAGUCUGAAACAUCGGACUACAUGCAUAUUGGGUUAAUUAUCUGGUUGGUCACUCAAAUGGGCUUAAUGUAUCAAAUUGGUCACUGAACUCAAAACGGUAUCAAGAUGGUCACUGAAAUGGCCAUAAAUAUCAAACAUGUAUCUUAAAAUAUAAGUUCAGGCACUAAAAAUAUUAUUUAUAAAGUUUUACACAUUAUUUUUGAAUGUUACCAAAACCAAGCAAAAGGUUAUGACUUCUAAUAUUUAUGAUAAUAUAUUUAGAUUUUAUCAAGUUUAUUUAUUAUUUAUUUUUAAUUAAAACAAAGAAAAUAACUAUCUAAUAAAAUAUAAAUAAUAAAUAAAUUUGAUAAAAUAUAAAUAUAUUAUUUUAAAUACUAUAAGUCAUAACCUUUUAGUUGGUUGUGGUAACAUCUUAGAAUAAUGUGUAAAACUUAAUAAAUAAUAUUUUUAAUACUUGAACUCAUAUUUCAAGGUACUUGUUUGAUAUUUAUGGUGAUUUUAGUGACCAUCUUGACACCGUUUUGAGUUCAGUGACCAAUUUGAUACAUUAAACCCACUUCAGUGCCCAACUUGAUAAUUAACUCCAUGCAUAUUAUAUUUAAAAAAGUAGAAUAAUUAUUUUUGUAAAUCGCAAGACAUUGUGUUUUUCCAUAUAAUUUAUAGCAAUUCCUACCAUGAAAAAUCUCGGCUAAAAAGUAAGUUGACAUACCAAAAACUCCAACCAUACAAGGGGUGUAAAUUAGCCGAGCCGAACUCUAAAGUGCUCGUGUAUCGUUUGUUAAAAAAUUAGUGAGCUCGAGCUCGAGCUUGGAUCGAGCCAAAAAUAUUGUUUGAGGAUCGAUUCAUUAAGAAAUAACUCUGUUCACGAACAUGUAUCACGAGCUUUUGCUCACGAACCGCUCAUUAACUUGCGCUCACGAACAUAUGUCACAAAUUUUUGCUCGUCAACCGCUCAUUAAUUUUGUUCACGAGCUUGUUUGAUAAACUUUGCUAACGAGCUAGCUUAUGCUCAUAAAUUUAUUUACGAGCUUGUUUGUUAUUUAAUUUAAUUAAAAAAAAUAAAUUAAAAUUCUAACAAUUUUUUCAUGUUCACGAGCUACGCUCACGAGCCAAGUUCACGAAUCAUGUUCACGAACUCAUAAUUCGAACUUGUUCGCGAACUAUCGAGUCAAACUUUAGUGUGCUCAAGUUCAGCUCGUUUAUAAAACGAACCUUAAAAUUGUGCUCAAGAUCGACUCGCUUAUGAAUUGAACCGAGCUCGAACCGAACUCUUUUCGAACCGAAUAUUGAGCGGUUAUCGAGCGUAUCAACUCAUUUACAGCCAUGUCCAUACUCUCCUUUUAUCCACAAUUAUAGUCAAACUCCAAUGAAUAAAUACAAGCAUGUAAAAAAUUCUGCAGGGAGAUUACAUAUAUCACUUGUUACCAUAUUAAAGUGAUAUUAUUUAUUAUAACAAUUUAAAAUAUUAAUAACAUACUAUUUUUGAAUUAUAGCAUGUAAAAUAUAGCCAACAUCAUCGAAGCACAAUGUCUUGCAUCUUCAACAAAUUCUAUAAGAUGUCCUACAGAUCUAAUUUAACUGAUCAUUAUAGGCUAUAGCAAAGCUCAUCGAAGAUGCCGAAAACAUAAUGAUUGUUGAAGUUAAAUAUUCUUUGGUCGGAAAUAAGUUUAAAUUUGUUAGAAAAUGGAAAGUUUAAAGCAUAUUUUUUAAUAUGUUCUUGAUGUAAUUUCCGGGACAUUUUCUUAGUGAAAUCCAUUGAGAAAUAGAGUUGAAUACAGUGGCUUGAAAGAGCUUGAAAUGAGAAUGUGAUUCAUUUAAUCUGGACAAAUGAAUCUGGUCAGUAUAUCUGACAGAUACAGAUUCAUUGAAUCUGGACAAAUGAAUCUGGUCAGUAUAUCUGACAGAUACAGAUUCAUUGAACCUGGACAAAUGAAUCUGGUCAGUAUAUCUGACAGAUACAGAUUCAUUGAACCUGGACAAAUGAAUCUGGUCAGAAUGUCUGACAGAUACAGAUUCAUUGAACCUGGACAAAUGAAUCUGGUCAGAAUGUCUGACAGAUACAGAUUCAUUGAACCUGGACAAAUGAAUCUGGUCAGAAUGUCUGACAGAUACAGAUUCAUUGAACCUGGACAAAUGAAUCUGGUCAGAAUGUCUGACAGAUACAGAUUCAUUGAACCUGGACAAAUGAAUCUGGUCAGAAUGUCUGACAGAUACAGAUUCAUUGAACCUGGACAAAUGAAUCUGGUCAGAAUGUCUGACAGAUACAGAUUCAUUGAACCUGGACAGAUGAAUCUGGACGGUGUGUUGGUGCCUUGGCCUCACUAUAAAUAGUGAGCCUCGACACUUGAGUUGUAGCACGGGAAAAACACAAACACCAUUCUCAUUCUUCUCUCUUACACUCUCACCAUCUACUCCGAUAUAUACACAUAUACAUACUGUUCUCGGGCGAACUGAGGUGUUGAUCGCUGUUGAUCGUACUCGUGUCUGUGAGCGGUUCGGUCUGUGCUGUUUUAUCCUGGGAGCGAUAUUGCGACUACCCAUCACAGCGUAGUGGGGCAAUAAUCACUUCAAGAACAGUCUAGUCUUCAUCGAAGGGCUAGGCGACUCAGCUGUUCUGUAUACUAAUUCUAGCGACGGUGUAAGGUGCGCCUUUCUCUUCUUUUCUUGUAAUUUAUCAGUCACUGAUUAUUGUAUAUACGAUCUUCGUGCAUGCUAUAUUGUUGUGGUUUCGUUGGCCUACACUUGUUUAUAUAAUAUAACUGCUCUAUACAUUGUUGCUGUGAUUUUCACUGUGACUCCCAACAAUCUUGAAGUGAUUAUCUGUUAUAUUGUGUAGUAAGCAAGAUGGUUAAUGAGAUUGCGGAUUCUGUUGUUGGUGGUGGUGCUGGUUCUGGGUCUGGUGUUACUAGUAACAUCGAUUGGACUACGUAUCGUUUUCCACAGCCCAUUGAUUUAUCAGGUAUUCCUGAUAAAUUCGGUGGGGGAGUUUCUUUUUCUCGUUGGCAGAAAAAGAUGAAACUGUGGCUUACGGUUAAGGGUCUAUGGCCGGUGUUGCAGUAUGAGAAACCAGUUGUGGUACAGGAAAAGGCUGAAACCCUUAAGGCCUAUGCUAUGUGGGAGGAAAAGGAUGGGGUGGCUAGGGCUGCUAUUCUAGCAGCCUUAACGAACACUCUGUUCGAUGUUUACUCAUCUGACUCCUACACUGCUAAGACCUUGUGGGAGAAACUUGAUCAGACACACAAUACUGACUCGCAAGGGUUGGAAAAGUAUUCUGUGGCUAAGUUCCUGGACUUCAAACUGGUGGAUACAAAAUCCAUGACUGAGCAGGUGCAUGAGUUUGAGACGUUGGUGCAUGCUUUGAAGGAGUCCGGAAUGGACCUUCCUGAAAAGUUUUUGGUUAUGUCUGUGAUUGAAAAACUCCCUAAGUCUUGGGAAGAGUUUGCACUCUCCCUGAAAAGGCAGAAGGGAGAGAUCACUUGGACUAACCUGAUGCUGGACAUCUCUGUGCAGGAGCAGCACAAGUCCAAACAGGGACAUGUGAUGCCAACUGAAUCUGGUAGCUCGAAGGUCAAUGUAGUGACUGUGGGACAGAAAAGAAAGUCUGUCGCUAAGAAGGUGAACACUAAGCCCAAAACUGACAAGGGCAAGGCUAAGAAAUCAAAGGCCAACAAACCAUGUUGGUCUUGUGGACAGGUUGGUCAUUGGAGUAAGGACUGUCCUGUAAAGAAAGCAAAGAAAGCUGAGGUGGUAGCACAAGCAAAUACUGUGCUUGGAACCACUGAUGGGCCUGUGCUUAACAUGGUUGUUGGUGAGGCUGUUGCUUCUGAAACCAAUGACGGGUAUGUUAAGUACAACCCUGAACUAUUUUCCACUUAUCUGUCUAAUGAGUGGUUGAUUGAUACGGGAGCUAAUGUGCACAUUUGUGCUGAUAUUACUCUGUUUGUAUCUUAUCAACAGGCUCAUGGGAUGACAGUGACGAUGGGGAAUGCUAGUGCGGCUCAAGUUCGUGGAAUAGGAAACGUGGACCUGAAGUUUGCUUCAGGGCGUGUUCUAUCCCUUACUAGAGUGCAUCAUGUUCCCGAGAUUCGUAGAAAUAUUAUUAGUGGAAGUUGUUUAGUUAAAAAUGGCUUUGAACUUUCUUUAAAGUGUAAUAAAGUAGUUAUUACUCAGACUGGUGUGUUUUUUGGCAAGGGCUACUUGUCAGACGGCUUGUUUUUAAUAAAUGUGGAGCCUGUUUUAGGCGGUUUUAUUAAUGAUAUUGCUUCUCCUUCUGUUAAUAAUAUUGAAUCAUCCGAUUUGUGGCACUCUAGGCUUGGUCAUUUUAAAUUUUGGUGCUCUAAAGAAUAUGAUGAACUUAGAGUUGAUUCCAAAGCAUGCCAUUGAUAAGAAAACUAAAUGUCAAGUAUGUGUGACAGCUAAACUAACAAGAAAACCUUUUCAUAGUGUGGUUAGGGAUUCUGACUUGUUAGAUUUAGUGCACUCGGACAUAUGUGAAUUUGGUGGUGUGUUGACUAAGGAACACUGUAGAUAUUUCAUUACCUUUAUAGAUGAUUGUAGUAGAUAUUGUUAUGUUUAUUUUCUUAAACAUAAAGAUGAAGCACUUGAAAAAUUCAUUAGAUUUAAAACUGAAGUUGAAACACAAACUGGUAAAGUACUUAAACGUUUGAGAUCUGAUAGAGGUGGUGAAUAUACGGGAAACACCUUUAAUGAAUUUUGCAAGAGCAAUGGUAUAAUUCAUGAGGUGACUCCACCAUAUACACCUGAGUCUAAUGGGGUGGCAGAACGAAAGAACAGAACUUUUAAAGAUAUGAUUAUAUACAUACUGUUCUCGGGCGAACUGAGGUGUUGAUCGCUGUUGAUCGUACUCGUGUCUGUGAGCGGUUCGGUCUGUGCUGUUUUAUCCUGGGAGCGAUAUUGCGACUACCCAUCACAGCGUAGUGGGGCAAUAAUCACUUCAAGAACAGUCUAGUCUUCAUCGAAGGGCUAGGCGACUCAGCUGUUCUGUAUACUAAUUCUAGCGACGGUGUAAGGUGCGCCUUUCUCUUCUUUUCUUGUAAUUUAUCAGUCACUGAUUAUUGUAUAUACGAUCUUCGUGCAUGCUAUAUUGUUGUGGUUUCGUUGGCCUACACUUGUUUAUAUAAUAUAACUGCUCUAUACAUUGUUGCUGUGAUUUUCACUGUGACUCCCAACAAAAUUUUCCUCUUUUUUUUGCACAUAAACAUGCGUCCUGGAGAAGUGUCACUGUAUUGACCACGGCAAGACGGCAACUGAGUCAUCAGUCCAGAAAUAUAAGAUGAGUAUUAAAAUUGAAUUUGGCAGCUACCAAAUAAAUUCUCCUGUUAGUGUAUAUACUGAGUUUGAAGAAUAUAAGACGCUACUCUUUCUUUUCCCUUUUUCUUUUGGAAAGUAUGACACUACUUUCUUAGUAAUAGCUUUGUUAGUUGUUACGACAUAGGAUGGUCUGGGAAGGUAGUUUCUUAUUAAUAUUAAUAAGAAACUGACUACAUUCUUAUAUUCAUAAAUUCUUCUCCCAUAAUCUCCAAGAAAUGAUUAGGAAAUGUUUCAUAGUCCCUUCAUCCUUACUUUUAAAUUCAAAAUAUAUAUUAAUAUUAGUAUUUGAUGUAUCAGAUAAUGUUUAUUCAGAAUCGAGGGGUUGAAAGUUGUGGGAGCCUUUCUACUAUCAAAACCUUUUUAAUCCUAGAUGUAAAAAUUUACUAUAAUCAGUGACGGAUGGAGGAUUUGAUGAAAGGAGGGGCAUAAGGCAAAUAGGAAAAAUUGUCUAAAAAAUAACUUAAUACAUAAUAAAUUGAACAAGUCUCUAACACAGAACAUAUAUAUGUGCUAUUUAGAAGACCAUAGAACUAUACUAGAAGAUGUGUUUUGAAAUAAGUUCAAUAAGUUUCUAACACUAAGUAUUUUGAAAUAAGUUUCUUAUCAGUAGACGAGGCGAUUGAGUUUUAUAAGAAGACAUGUCUUGAAAUAAUACUAUAAAUCUCCAACACUUGACUUGCCUCACUAUCCCUAGGCAUUGAUAUUAUAUAUGUCAGGUUAUUGAUAUAUCAUAAUUCAUAAGUUAUUCAAAUCUUUUUAAAUCUGUGUAUUACACAAAAUUUCUAAAAUUUUACAUACCGGCUAUUAGCUAGAAACAUCAAUAAAUAUAUACGAUAACCACUAAAAUAUAAAAUUUAAUGCAUAUGUGAGUUUUUGGAUAAGAGUGACUGUAAUUUCCUGUAAGCCACUUGCAUAGUUGCAUGAACCACCCUCUAGAAGACGGGCUACAAGACAAGAGCUAUAUAGCUCGUGCUAUAAACUCUUCAGCACAAGUCGUUGUUAAAGUCAAUACUAGUCCCAAGUAACCCCAAAGUCUAAGUUACAGCUACCAAUUUUCUGGUUUCUAGUUAUGUAGUCCAGCAGUAUAGUAAAGGCAACUACUAGUUUCUGGUUGGAUAGUUUCUGGUUGAAUUAGUAUAUGAUUAUACAAUUCAACGGCUUAGAUUAUGUCUGGUAUAUUAUAUUGUAAGGUGUAGAUGGUUUGCUGGCACCUAUAAAUAUCCUUUGUAUCUGAGUUUAUUAAUAUAACAAGUAACAGUUUGUUUCUUAAGUCUAGAGAGAAAAGAUCAGUUCAUACUUGUUAGUGUAACUAGUGUGUUCUUUUUCUAAAGAGAGAAGAGUGAAUACAGAGAGUGUUUUUCAACAAUUGGUAUCAGAGCAAAGGUUGUAUUAUCAAUAAUCAGAAGACAAGAUGGGUGAUCUUCAAGUGGUGGGAGGAAUCAAGAAGCUUAACAAUCAGAACUACAAUACAUGGUCCACCUGUAUUGAAUCUUACUUGCAAGGUCAGGACCUGUGGGAGGUUGUUGGAGGGACUGAAGUAUCUCAGCCAAUAACUGAGGAUGCUGUCCGCAAGUGGAAGAUUAAAGCAGGCAAAGCAAUGUUUGCUUUGAAGACCACCAUUGAGGAAGAAAUGUUAGAUCAUAUUCGGGAUGUAAAAACACCGAAGGAAGCCUGGGACACUUUCACAACACUCUUUUCAAAGAAGAAUGAUACUAAGUUACAAAUUCUGGAAAAUGAAUUGCUCUCAAUGGCGCAAAGGGAAAUGACGAUUGCUCAAUACUUCCACAAGGUGAAGUCCAUAUGCCGUGAAAUUUCAGAUUUGGAUUCAACGGCUGCUAUUGGAGAAGCCAGGAUAAAGAGAAUAAUUAUCCAUGGCUUAAAACCUGAAUACAGGAGUUUUGUGAGUGCUGUGCAAGGUUGGCCGACACAGCCAUCUCUUGUUGAGUACGAAAAUUUGCUAGCAGGCCAAGAGGCCAUGACAAAGCAAAUGGAGGGAGUCUCGCUGAAAGGUGAAGAAGAAGCACUCUACACCAAGCACAGCAGCAGAGGCGGUACAAAACAGCAGAGCAGGGGCGGAUUCAAGAAAUUUGGUGGCAUGUCAAAAAGUCAUCAGGGAGAGAGAGGUUUCCGUUCAGGUGGAACUUUCGCAAAUCGAGAUAAUACCAAGAGAUUUGAUGGAAAGUGUUAUAAUUGUGGAAAGAAGGGCCAUAUGGAGAAAGAUUGUUGGUCAAAGAAGAAGUCUUUAGAGAGUAAUAUUGCUACAUCCAGCACUAAUGAAGAAGAUAGUUGGGAUGCAGAAGCAUUAUUAGCUAAUGCUGAAGAUUUAUCAGCUUUCCAAAUGACAACAAAAGAGAAGAUCGAUUAUAAGAAUGAUUGGAUUGUUGACUCCGGAUGUUCAAAUCACAUGACGGGUGAUAAACAUAAGAUGCAAAACUUGUCUGAGUAUAUGGGAAAUCGGGUGGUGGUAACGGCCGACAACUCGAAAUUACCAAUAGCUCAUAUUGGAAAAGCUGCUGUUAUGCCUCGGUAUAAUCAGAAUGAAGUGUCACUUCAGAAUGUUUAUCAUGUUCCAGGAAUGAAGAAGAAUCUAUUAUCCGUGGCUCAAAUAACUUCAUCUGGUCACUAUGUUGUCUUUGGUCCAAACGAUGUGAAGGUAUUUCAAGACCUUAAUAUAUCUGAAAAGCCAACGAUGCAGGGGCAGAAGUUGGAAUCAGUUUAUGUAAUGUCUGCAGAAUCUGCAUAUGUAGACAAAACACGAAGAAAUGACACAGCAGAGUUGUGGCAUAUGCGGUUGGGUCACGUUAGCUAUUCCAAGCUAAAUUUGAUGAUGAAGAAAGCGAUGCUUAAAGGACUUCCUCAAAUUGAAGUACGGACAGAUACCGUAUGUGCCGGAUGUCAGUACGGUAAAGCACAUCAAUUGCCAUAUGAAGACUCAAAGUUUAAAGCAAAGGAGCCACUGGAGUUGGUGCACUCUGAUGUAUUUGGGCCUGUUAAACAGCCAUCGAUCGGCGGAAUGCGAUAUAUGGUUACAUUUAUUGAUGAUUUUUCAAGAUAUGUAUGGGUCUUUCUUAUGAAGGAAAAAUCUGAAACAUUUCUGAAAUUCAAGGAGUUUAAAGACUUAAUCGAAGGGGAGUCAACUCACAAAAUCAAGUGCUUACGUACAGACAAUGGAGGAGAGUAUAGCUCGAAGGAAUUUAGUCAAUAUCUACGAGCUAAUAAAAUCCGUCAUCAAUUUACAUGUGCAAACACACCCCAGCAAAACGGUGUUGCAGAGAGGAAAAAUCGACAUCUUGCUGAAAUAUGUCGGAGUAUGUUACAUGCUAAUAACGUGCCUGGAAAAUAUUGGGCUGAAGCUAUAACUACGGCAUCUCAUGUCAUUAACAAGCUUCCUCAACCAAGGCUGGAUUUCGUCACGCCCUUUGAAAAAUUAUGGGGAAAGAAACCUGCUGUAAGUUAUCUUCGGGUGUUUGGUUGUGUUUGUUAUGUAUUUGUUCCUGAUCAUUUACGUAGCAAGAUUGAUAAGAAAGCAAUCAGAUGUAUCUUUGUGGGAUAUGACAAUCAACGGAAAGGAUGGAAGUGUUGUGAUCCAACAACCGGAAGAUGUUACACAUCACGUAAUGUGGUUUUUGAUGAAGCAUCUUCGUGGUGGACUUCAGAGAAAGAAACAACGCCUAACUCUGAAGAAUUUGAGAAAAAGUUGGAACAAAAGAUGAGUGAGCAUAUUGUUCAAAUUUUGCCAAGUUCAGAUGGAGAUAUACGUAAUGAUGAUGAGCCAAACGUCACACAAAAUCCUUGGCAAUCUGGUAUGUAUCAACAACCAGAUGAAAGCUAUAAUUCUGGUGAAGAAUCAGCUCCAUUACGAAGGUCAACAAGAACUCGGAGGGCAAAUGUUAGAUAUGCUAAUGCAGCAAUAAUCGAAGAAAUAGAACCUGAGACGUUCGAAGAAGCAUCACAAAAAUCAGAAUGGAUAACAGCUAUGAAAGAUGAGAUCAAUUCCCUUCAAGAAAAUCAAACUUGGGAAUUAGUGUCAAAGCCACACGAUGUGAAACCUAUAUCCUGCAAAUGGGUUUACAAAAUAAAGCGCCGUCCAGAUGGGUCAGUUGAGAGACAUAAGGCUCGACUAGUAGCUCGCGGCUUCUCUCAGCAGUACGGACUAGACUACGAUGAAACGUUUAGUCCGGUGGCAAAACUCACAACUGUAAGAGUCUUGCUUGCAUUGGCGGCUAACAAAAAUUGGAAGUUGUGGCAAAUAAAUGUGAAGAAUGCGUUUUUAUAGGGUUGUCAAACGGAUAAUUCGGAUACGGAUAUGCCUAUAUCCGUAUCCGUAUCCGCAAUGGCCGGAUUCAGAUACGGAUAAUAUCCGCUUUAAUUCGGAUACGGAUAAUAUCCGCUUAUUCUCGGAUACGAAUGCGGAUAUUUCAGACGGAUGUCGGAUAUUUUUUAUGACUCUACCGUAUUAACGAUGAUUUUCGAACAAUUUUUUUAUGACUAAGCUCAAAUAAUAUUUUUAUAUAUGUAUAAAGUGUUUGAGUAUUUGUACAAUUAUAUAAAAUUUAUGUAAAUGUAUUAUUUAAUGCAUAAACACACACUACAAGCUAAAUAAAAUAAAAUUUUAAUUACAUAUACUUAUAUAUUAUAUAAUUUAAAUAUCAUAUAUGUAUUUAAUUUCGGAUUCGAAUAUCACGGAUUCGGAUACGGAUAAUAUCCGUUUUAUUUCGGAUACGAAUAAUAUCCGCUUUUUCUCGGAUACGGUUGCGGAUUUUUCGGACGGAUAUCGGAUCUUUCGAAUAUUUUUGACAGCCCUAGUUUUUUACAUGGAGAGUUGGACCGAGUGAUUUACAUGAAUCAACCAAGUGGUUUCGAAAGUGUAACUCAUCCUAAUUUUGUUUGCAAACUCAGAAAAGCGCUUUACGGAUUAAAGCAGGCACCACGUGCGUGGUAUGGGAAGAUAGCUGAGUUUUUAAGCCUAUGUGGUUAUGUGAUGGCACAAUCAGAUUCUAGUUUAUUUGUUAAAAUAAGAGAAGGGAAGUUGGCAGUGGUGUUGGUAUACGUAGAUGAUUUAAUCAUUACAGGAGAUGACAUCGAAGAAAUUUUUCAGACAAAGAAAAAUUUAUCAGUCCGUUUUCAGAUGAAGGAACUAGGAGAACUCAAGCACUUCUUGGGAUUAGAGGUUGAUCAUACUGAAAAUGGGCUGUUUCUUUGUCAACAAAAGUAUGCUACAGACUUACUAAAAAGGUUUGGUAUGCUUGAAUGUAAGCCAGUAUCAACACCCAUGGAGCCAAAUGCGAAAUUGUGUGCUCAUGAAGGAAAAGAUUUGCAGGAUUCAUCAAUGUAUCGACAAAUAGUAGGUAGUCUGAUCUACUUGACUAUAACCCGACCUGAUAUAUCAUAUUCAGUUGGUGUGAUAAGUCGAUACAUGCAAAAUCCAAAGAAGUCUCACUUAGAAGCUGUUCGAAGAGUACUCAGAUAUAUAAAAGGUACUGUAAGUUAUGGUCUGAUGUACAAAAAGGGUGAAGAUUGCAGUGUACUUGGAUAUUGUGAUGCUGACUACGCUGGAGAUCAUGAUACUCGUAGGUCAACUACAGGGUAUAUGUUUAUGCUUGGAUCCGGGGCAGUUUCUUGGUGUAGUAAGAGACAACCAACAGUGUCUCUGUCAACAACAGAAGCCGAAUAUCGGGCAGCUGCAAUGGCAGCUCAAGAGAGCACAUGGCUGAUCCAACUAAUGCAGGAUUUGCAUCAGCCAGUAGACGCGGAAAUUCCACUCCUUUGUGAUAAUCAAUCAGCAAUUCGUUUGGCUGAAAAUCCGGUGUUUCAUGCCAGGACAAAACAUGUUGAAGUACAUUAUCAUUUUCUUCGGGAAAAAGUCUUGCAAGGGGAGAUUGCAAUGAGACAUGUUGCGACACAUGAACAAGUUGCAGAUAUGUUUACCAAAAGCUUAAGUCCAGGAAAGUAUGAGAAGUUUCGCUGCCAACUGGGAGUUGUUCAGAGAAUGGGGACUAACAUUGAGGGAGAGUGUUAAAGUCAAUACUAGUCCCAAGUAACCCCAAAGUCUAAGUUACAGCUACCAAUUUUCUGGUUUCUAGUUAUGUAGUCCAGCAGUAUAGUAAAGGCAACUACUAGUUUCUGGUUGGAUAGUUUCUGGUUGAAUUAGUAUAUGAUUAUACAAUUCAACGGCUUAGAUUAUGUCUGGUAUAUUAUAUUGUAAGGUGUAGAUGGUUUGCUGGCACCUAUAAAUAUCCUUUGUAUCUGAGUUUAUUAAUAUAACAAGUAACAGUUUGUUUCUUAAGUCUAGAGAGAAAAGAUCAGUUCAUACUUGUUAGUGUAACUAGUGUGUUCUUUUUCUAAAGAGAGAAGAGUGAAUACAGAGAGUGUUUUUCAACAGUCGUUAGUCUAAACUAAGACACAACAGAACUGAGUAAACAUCAAUCUAUUUGAUUUAUUUAUGAAUUAACAAGUCUAAAUAAAUGAAAGUCACAAUCAUUUGAUAAUAAAAAUGCCGAAUGCGUUUCUAUUUGUUGUAUGACUCAUGGGAGAUUGAAUUAAAAAAAGGUUCAAUAAUGCAAGUCAUCAUCAUGCAUGAAAAGUCCUAAAAGGGUUACUAUGAUCAUGUUACUUGGAAUUAUUGAAACGAAAAGAAGGUUCUGUUAAAAGCUGGUUUGUGUUAUUUUGGGAGUUAAAUCAUUUAAGUGGGUUUUUGGUUCCCUUAGAGUUUUAAAUUAGAAGUAUUUAUUCGUAUCGUUUAUAUAAAAAGUUGAGAAGCAUUUAAAAAAACUAGGAUUCUAUUUCUGUAAUUUGACACUAACAAAUAAGCUGAAUGUUCUGUUGCUGCGAGUGGUCUCGAGUCCUGCUGCUUUUCAAUUUUUAAUAUCUUCGAUUUAUCAAAAAAAGUAUUUUAUAAUAUGUUUAAAACAGGGAAAGAAUCUCGCAUAAUAAUUAAAAUUGUUUGCAGUGGCGGACCCAGAAUUUUUUCUCAGUGGGUUCCUUGUUUUAUUUUAUUAAUAUAAAUAAUAAAUAUUUAAUUAAAUAUUAAUAUUUAAAUUUUUGAUAUUAAUAUUAAAUGUUAAUUUAAAGAACAACGGAAACUAAAAGGAAUAUAUUUAUACAAAUAUCUUAAUAAAUACGAGAUGUUAAAUAAUUUCGAACAACAAUCGCCUAAUAAUUAAUAAGAUUUCUGAAUUAUUAAAGUAAAUUAUGAAUUUGGUAAAAUAUUUUAGUGGGUUCCCGCUAAUUUUAAAUUAAUUUUUAACCGAAAUUUACCUUAUAAUUACAUUUCGGCGGGAAGUUGAGUGGGUGCCCGGGAACCCAUAGCCAAAGCUAUGGGUCCGCCCCUGAUUGUUUGAUGUUAUAGAUAAAAACAUGUUAGAUACUAAAUAUUCCUUUCAUUUCAAAAUAAUAAUCAUUUUGAUUUUUUACGGUAAUUUUAGUUCUACGCUUGAAUUAUCAAAUACAUUACCAUUUUCGUUUAAAAAUAUCAAGUAUGUUAUCGACAAUUUUCUAAUUUCGUUUGUAUCACUGAUUUAAAAUAAAUUUGUAUUUUAUUAAUUUUAAAAUUCUAUAAUGAAAGUUGAUUGUUGAAAUUUUUUAGAAUAAGCAAUAGCCCAUCUUUCUAACUACAUCAGUUUUUUUUUAUUGAAUUCGACAUCUAUUUUCCCAAAGUUUCUAUGAUUUUAUUUUUGUUUUUUUAUUUUAUCAUCACGUUAUUUUGUGCACAAGUUUGUCAAUCAAAUUCAUGUCAUAAAAUUUUAACAAAAAAAAUUAAUUUAACUUAAUUUUGUGAAAUUUGCAUGCAUAUAAUUUAAUUUGAAACGAGUAAUUCAAAUAAUUUUAAAAAUUUAUUGAUAAUCCACUUGAUGUAUUAACAUAAAAUAAGUGAACUAAUUAAUUAUUAACCGAUAAAAAACAUAAUUUUAUAUAUUUAAUUUUCAAACUUUUUUUUCCUAAAUAAAUAUUUACACCUAUAUUUUUAUCACAUACCUCAACUUACCUGAUCGAUUUCUAUGAAAAUGAUGUAAUACUAAAAUCGGAGUAUUUUGUGAUGAAUACUCUAUCGUUAAAUCUUGAGAUGCUCACAAAAUCUAGCUAAAAUAAAGCCCAAUAACAUUUUCAAGAACAAAUGUUUCAAAAUUUUCAUAGAAGUCAGAUUGUAUCAAACAGAUUGUAAUUAACAUCAUCCUCUCCAGGAGUUUGGCAGUUCGAUUCGCAGUGACGUUUAUUAUUCUGUACACGCUUUUCACUUGUUUUCUACUCGUCUCUGUUUAGCUCCGCCUCCGGACCAAAUCAAAUCAAACAUACCCGAUAUGUGAAUCGAAAAUAAUCUUGUUGUCAAACAUUUUGCUAUAUGUUUUCGUGAAAAGCCCCGACUUAAAUAUUCACGUUAUCUUCGACGCAAAAUUAGAAAAAUUCCAAACUCGUAUAAAUCCCCGAUCAUCAGAUUAAUCCCGAUCAUUCCAACAUAAGAGCAUGGUGACACACCGUCGGAGAAUAUAAAUCUUGGUUUUCCGCUGCUUGACUAUCGUGAAGCACCUUUUGGAGAUUUUAGCUGCCCUGCAGUUGCUUUGACGAGAACUAAGAGAAUUGAUGAGAUAAGAAAACGGCAUGGCUGUUGAGACAAUACAACGAGUGGUUGAUGAGAGAAACGAGAAUGAAGAAGAAGAAGAAAAGUAUGAAACACUGGAUGGUUUUUGUUGUGUGCUUUUUAUUUAUAGAAUUGGAGGAAGCUCAGUUCACGCUGUGGUCCACAUGGAUGACUUCUAUGCAAUUUCAGUUGAUUGUGCCC
rnacentral:lncRNA from 1 species